rnacentral:lncRNA from 1 species
GUCUCUCUUUUGUGGUAUUUCUGGAUCCUUACCAAGGCAGUGAUGGUAUAUGCCUUCUCUCAAGAUAUGUAGUAUUUGUGGUAUAAGGCAUAGUAACAUUGCCUUCUCUCUCACCCUACUCUAAUAAGGCUUUAAUAUCUGGAGCUCAUAGGUGGGAGAUAAAGUAUACAUACUUACAAGACAUUUAUUGCAUAGUCAAACCAUGGAUCCAAAGAAACAAAUCAAUAAGCCAAAUCAAGAUGUGCAUGUGUGGCGGAUGAAUGAUGUAUGGUGAUGAUAGUGAUAACAAUGAUGAAAACAAUGGUGGUGGAAGUCUAAUUCUACUUUUGCUCUUUGAGGGGAUACAUACCUUCCUUGCUUUUGAAACUUUAUGAGGAGAAUGAGAUGCUCUUCUUUUUCUUUUCUCUCAGGUGGGUAUCUUGUACCCCUAAUUCUACUGUCGGACACUUGUCCAUUUUUACCUCUCGUCUCACUUUUUCUUUUCUUUUGAGGUUCCGAGCACUUGCUCCUUUUUAUUUCCUCGUAUCUCUUUUUUUUUAAUUAGAGCAUUCAUCUCUUGAGAUAAUAUAGCAAGUGGUAGUAACAAGAUAACUUGAGCAUUUAUUUCACAAGGGGAAACAGAAAUAUUUUUGGUUAUUCUCUCCCGGAUUAGGAGUAGAAUAUUUUUUAGGUGGCUCUGGAGAUGGAAUGGGUGGAUGUAUGUGGAUGGUACUUCCGGAGUAGAAGUAGCAUAUAUGAGUGAACGUGCAAGUGAAAUCUUGAUUUAACCACAUGACAAGCUCCUAAGGGUCUACACAGCUUGACCACACUCAAUGCUCAUAAGCAGUAAAUAGUAAAUGUGUGGCUCAAAGUCUAGCAAGCAUGUAUAUAUGGCUAUGGUAGGAAUUUAAACUCUCAACAUACAGGAACUCAUCAUGCAACAUUUUAAAGAUUUUCAAAGAUAAAAUUCUCCAGAAUUCUAGCAACUCUAGGAACAGAUAAACAGCAGCUCAACCUUCCCAUAUCAUAUCCGUUAACAACUUAGACUUUAGAUCAAGUUUUCAUCCCACAAGUUUAGGUCUAGAGCAAGCUUUAAAUUAUAACAGUUAUAUCUAAACUUGAGAGAGAACUUAAAAUAUGCACAUUAGGCAGAGCAACUAUUCAUCAUAUCCAUGCUUAAGUUUUAUUUAGAUACAGAUUAGCAUAGCCACUUUAUUUAUUUAUUAGACACACUAAGAAAAAGAUAUAUAUAUAAGCAUAAAAUCUUUAUUUGGUUUUCCAUAGUUUAUGUGUAUUUAUAUUCUAAAAUAAUAUAAGUAUAAAGAUAGAUAGAAAUAAUUAUCGAUAUAAAUGGGGGUGGUCUCCCCCAAGCUGAAUUUUGACGUAAUUUCCCUUGAUGUAGCUAGCAGGUGGCAGAGGUGUAUUUGAAAGUCAGCAGCAUUCUGACAGCGAUUAGAAUGUCCUCCGUCUGCUAGUCUUCUUAAAUUCUGUGGAGCUCAAAUAGACAACAAAGCUUGUGGAACUGGUUAAGUGUUAGCAUAAAUAUCUAGCCUUUAUCAUGUUGAGAGUCCUUAAUAAUUGUUACUCCCUGUUUUUAUAUUUUCAUUGUUAUAAAGCGGAAAAAUAUUUAUUUUAUUUUUAUGCCACCACAGUGAAUAUACUUAUGGGUUUUAUGCCACUCGUCUACUCACAUGGGGCUUACUAUUUUUCACAUUUUUAUUUUCUUUUUAAGAUAGUAUGAAUAUGAUUAACUAAGUAAAAUAAUUGAAAUAAUUGAAAGGGAAAGGAUAACUACCAAGUUUACCUCUUGGCAAGGCGUUCGAUGUUUUUAAGUCCUCCGAACGGGACUCUCCAUCUUCUUAAUCGUCCUGAGGUUUGUUGGGUGGCGUAGUCGGUACUUCCGGCAAUGCCUCCUCUUCUUGUAUAGUUAUCUUCAUUUUCCAUACCUGACUCGGAGCUUCCGUCUCCUCUGGAUAAUUCUGUUUAAACUCAACGUCUUCUUAUCUUACAACUUCUCCUUCAUAGUCUGCCCAUCCGUCCUUGAUGAUCUGCCUCCUCUGGUUGCGGUUGCGUCUCUUUCUGACCUGCUUAGAUUCUUCAACGAUAUAGUUAGGGUCAGUAAAGUAACGGCGUACCUUCUCUAAGGGGAAGUGCAUAUGGACUUCUCCGGUUCCAAUAUAGAUAAUUGCUUUAACGGUGCUGAGGAACGGUCUUCCAAUGAUGAUGGGUGGAUCAUAUUCGUCUUCUCCCAUGUCAACAACUUGAAAGUCUGAGUAGACAAAGUGAUCAUUUAUUUUGGCUGGGACAUCAGUUACUGUUCCUUUAACUUCUCGAAAUGUCUGAUCUGCCAUCUGGAGCUGAAUGUAUGUUGGUCUUAGUGGCAUGGUCCCGAACAAGAGCCGAUAGGUGACUGCGGCCAUUAUGUUGACGCCUGAUCCGGUGUCGCAAAUUGUCUUGUAGAAGUUGUAUCCAUUUAUUGAGCAAUAGAUGCUUGGCAUUCCUGGGUCGUCCUUCUUGGUUAAAAAUGGUGACUUAAGUUGAUGAUCUUGACCUCCAUGAACUACAGUGACCAUCUUCGCUGACUCGGUCCGCACUUGCUUGUUCCUGUUUCUCCUGUUGGUCCUCUUCCUUGAUUCACGUCUGGAUUGAUCUUGAAUUUGUGUAGUCUUGUUCUUGAAGAAAAAUGUCUUCUUCUUCCCUUUGACGUAGAAACUGAUCUUGGCAGCACUGGCGUAGAUGAUAGCUCCCGUGGUGUUCAAGAAUGGCCUCCCUAGGAUGAUGGGUGCUCUCUCAUCAUUACCGGUCUCUACCACUACGAAGUCUGCUGGGGCAUAUAAGGUACCAACUCGGACACAAAGGUUCUUCACUAUUCCUUUUGGGAAAGUUAUCGUCUGAUCUGCAAACUGCAAACACAUGAUUGUUUCUAAUAAAGGAUAUGUAAAGAAUUUUUCAUAGAGUACCCUGGGUAUAAUGUUGACACUGGAGCCAAAGUCACAGAGUGCUUCUGGGACAUCCACCAUGCCGAUGGAAAUCGGGAUGACGGGGCGUCCUGGAUCUCCUCUCUUGACCGGCAGAAGGUCAGUAGAGAAUUCAUUGACAGGGUUACUCCAAUUACCUGCAUCAGACAUGUCUACAAGAUUUGCAGAUUCUAAUCCUUCCGGUUGUGAUGGUAUACCGGGGUUAGUAGUAGGAACAGCAGCAGCUAUUUGAUUUAACUGAGAUUCAAUCAUUUUAUUAAAGCUAAUUUGAUUCUUGAUGGCAGUUGAGAAAUUAUCCAUUCUAUUAUUUAUAUUUUCUAGCAUUUUAUCAUUAGAUGCCAAUUUCUUAGAUAGAUUAUCUAUUAGCUUUCCUUGAUUAGACACUAACUCUCUCAAAGGUGGAAUAUUAUUAUUAUUGUUGUAAGAAUUGUUACCUUGAUAAUUACCUGAGUAGUUAGGCCUCUGUUGAUUCCAACCUUGAUUUUGUUGAGGACGGUUGUAGUAGUUGUUGUUGUUGUUGUUGAUGUAGUUCACAUCCUCAAGUAUCUCAGGGCAGUGGUUGCCUGAGUGUCCAGUGUCUCCACACUCCUCACAAGUCAUGUGAGAGUCGUAGAUGUGCAUAACUUCUUUCUUAUCUCCAGCUCUAUCGUCUAGCUUCUUCAUGAGCAGGUCUAGCUUUGCAGACAGCAUGUCUACCUCUUUCAGCUGAUGCAUACCUCCACUUCUCUUGCGUGUCUGAGUCCGCUCUUCAUUCCAGCUCUGAUUGGACGCCAUCUUCUCCACAAGAGCUGUGGCUUGUGGUAUAGUAAGUGAUAAGAAUGCUCCUCCAGCUGCAGCAUCCAAGGUCUCUCGGGCACUAUUGCUGAGCCCAUGAUAGAAUGUCUGCAUCAAUAGCCAACUCUCCAUUCUAUGAUGGGGACAUUCUAGGAUGUAGUCUUGAAAGCGCUCCCAUGCUUCUGGAACAGAUUCAUCAUUUUGUUGCUGAAAACUUGUAAUCUUCCCACGAAGAGCAUUGGUCUUGCCCAUGGGAAAGAACUUAGCCAGGAAGUUAGUUGAGCAGAGUGCCCACGUAGUAUUCUUCUCCUUUGUAGCGUAAAACCACUGCUUCGCUCUUCCUAACAGUGAGAAUGGGAAGAGGCGAAGUAGUAUAGCAUCUUUGGAAACUCCUGAUAUGGUGAAUGUGUUGCAAAUCUCCAGGAAGUGUUGUAAAUGAGCACUAGCAUCUUCGUGUGCCUUCCCACAGAACUGGUUGGAUUGCACCAUGUUGAUAAGUCCAGGCUUGAGCUCAAAGUUGCCAUCGAUCUCUACAGCAGGUCCAGUGCGGAUGUUGUCUGUAGUGGGGGCUGAGAACUCGCGGAUUGAUUUGUUCGCCAUGGCUUCGAACUCUGAAGACAAGUUCCGGUGAUCUUCUUGAUUGGAUGAAGCUUCUUCGUGAAGUGUUGAUGAUCUCUUCUUGAGCUUGGCUCUCGUCUUCUUGAAUAAUGCUUCGGGAUUGUCAACAAAAUUUCCUGGAAGAUGUCUUCUAUUCAUACAUUCCCCUGCAUAAGAUAAAAUAGAAAAAUAUCGGGGUAAAACUGUAUAAGAGAAUAGAUAAGCUCAAUCAUAUUAGUGAUGCGAAUGAUAACUCAAAAUCUUUUAUUCUAUUCCUGAUUGGUAAUGAACCUUCCCCGGCAACGGCGCCAAAAAUGCUUGUUGGGCAUUCUUAACAUCAUUGCCAAAAGUAGACUAAGUUCUCUAAAUCUAGUAAUGGUGCCAAAAAUGCCAAACCUAUCCCUUACACCACUUAAGCCAAAUUGUCAUCCCCAGCAUGAUAUAAGAGACGCGGUAUUGAAAUAUGCAAUUCCUCUUCUAAAUAAAUAAUGAAUGGGAUCUGCAAGCGCACAGAUUAAUACCGAUGCAGCAUUUUAACCGGGAAGUAUUCCAGGUAUCGUUAUUUAUAUUUUUACCACUAGGAAGGGAUUAAUCAAUCAUCAAUAUUGAUUACAGAAUAGCAUAUGAGAUUGAGCAUCUAUCAUUGCAUGUAUAAUUGAGAACAUUAUAUCUAACUCUUCAUACAGGGAUAAGUGUCACAUAAAAGAUAUAUGAAAUAAUAAUAGUGACAAGGAUAACUAAUCUGAUCUAGCCACAUAAUAAAUAUGAUAAGCACCUCAAUUAGAUACUCUAGAAAGUCAUUAGCAUUGUAUUAGAACGAACUACAAGAAUAUUCCCUAAGUUAUUCUCAACUAUAUAGUCUAGCAUUAUCAUAGUUAGUGCAAGCAUACUUAGCAAUCAUUGCGAGACAAGACUACGCCCAUGCAUAGUGAUAUUAGCAAGGAAUAUGAGAAACAUAGCAAUCACUCCCCUGUAAUAAUGUUGCUCUGCCAGUCCAAUACACGAGAGGGGGACUAUAUAAGAAUCAAUGAAGCUGUCACUAUCACGAACUACCCCACGAUUUGGCAUAUUGGGUACAAUCGCAGAUAAAUACGGUAUAAGCACCACGCCUACACAAUAUCUAUCAUUUACCCAUGGAUCCGAUGGAUAAAUGCUAUACGAUCCUAAGCAUGUAUAUAGAUCCAAUCUAACUAAGCCAAGUACAUAACUAUGAUAAACUAAGAAUAAUAUAAUCUUGAAUAUAAGCAAGUAGAGCAAAGUCAUAAGCAAUAUAUUGAAGUAGAACAAAGUCAUAUUCAUAAUAUUGAAGAACAAAGAUAAUUAGAAAGUAAUUAGAAGCACAAUUAGAAGAUUACCAAGAAUCCUCCUGACAGAUCCGGAAACCAAUCGAAGAUUGACUCCUUCUAGUUCUAAUCCUAUGUAGCUAUGCUAAUCUAGAUAUCUAAUUGAUGUGGUGGCUCUAAUCUUGAUCAGAGGCUUCUUCUCCCUUGAUGGAACAAUGAAUUAGGGUUGAGAGGCUCUCUCCUCCAGGGGCCAGGGGGUCUGGUUUUAUAGUCCCUUCAAGUGAAUAUGGGCCCUUGGAUCAAACCGACAUAGAUUGUAUGGUUUAGAUUCAUCCUUUAGGUCGGUGGAGAUCUCCCGCAAAGCAGAGUCCUGAUUGGACUCAGGGGCAGGGCGGGCGCCCUGACCAACUGGGCGGCCGCCCAGGGUCUGGCCCCGUUUCACCUCCGCUUCGGUCUCGUGGCUUCUGGAGUCUUCUAGAUGUAAGAUAAUUGCGCAGCACGUUAAUAUCUUUACGUAAUCCCGACAUGUGGGCCUUUCUUCCGUAUUUCCUGAUAACCCCCUGCAGAAAUAGACAAACACCAAAACUCGUGGAAUUCUGUCAGAUAAAACCCUAAGUCUGGAUGUUGAUUUCAUUUGGAUCCUUUUCUUUGUUUAUUUGAUAAUUAAAUUUGAUACUUAAGGACCGUCAACAUUCCGCACCUUGCGAAAGUUGCUAACCACUGCUCCCGUUCUGGCGCAACCCAAUAUCAAGAAGCCUUUUGAUGUGUUUUGCGACGCGUCGAAAAGUGGCUUAGGGUGUGUGUUGAUGCAAGAUGGCAGAGUUAUAGCUUAUGCUUCACGACAGUUGAGAAAGCACGAAGUCAACUACCCAACUCACGACCUCGAGUUAGCAGCAGUAGUGCACGCUUUGAAGAUUUGGAGACACUAUUUGCUGGGAAAUAAGUGUCAUAUCUAUACCGAUCAUAAGAGCUUGAAGUACAUCUUCACUCAGUCCGAGCUGAAUAUGAGGCAACGACGAUGGUUAGAGUUAAUCAAGGACUAUGAUCUGGAAGUUCACUAUCAUCCAGGCAAAGCUAAUGUAGUAGCAGACGCUUUGAGUCGUAAACCGCACUAUCAGGUGGUUCAACCGUUGUUUGAAGAUGGUUUUAACCUCAUGCAUCCUGAAGUCUUAUGUCACAUACAACAUAGUUGUUCGCUCGAGAGUCAAGUCAUUGAAGGUUAGAAAACAAACAAGGGUAUUUUCCACAUCAAAGAGAAGAUCAAAGAUGACCCAAAAACUCAGUUUCGAGUUGAUGAAAAAGGGGUACUGUGGUUUCAACAUCGGUUAGUAGUCCCGAAGGAUCGGGAAUUGAUGAAUCGUAUCAUGGAUGAGGCCCAUCUCUCUAAGCUUUCUAUUCAUCCUGGUAGUAGUAAAAUGUAUCAAGACCUAAGACCCCACUUUUGGUGGACCAAGAUGAAGAAAGAAAUAGCCGCAUAUGUGGCCCGUUGUGACACGUGUUGCAUAGUUAAGGCCAUCCAUAUGAAACCUGCAGGUCUGUUGCAACCGUUAUCUGUUCCAGAGUGGAAAUGGGAAGAGGUCAGCAUGGACUUUAACACAGGUUUACCAACCACGAGGAAGGGGAAUGACUCGAUUUGGGUAAUCAUAGAUCGAUUAACCAAGUCGGCUCAUUUCAUCCCAGUUAAGAACACAUACAGACCUCCCGAGUAUGCCGAUAUAUAUAUGGCUAAGAUUGUCAAGUUGCAUGGUAUUCCCAAGACCAUCAUAUCAGAUAGAGGACCACAGUUCACCGCUCACUUUUGGGAGCGAAUGCAUAAGAGUUUGGGGACCAGUCUAAUAAGAAGCAUCGCGUAUCAUCCCCAAACCUCAGGUCAAACUGAGAGGCUAAAUCAAGUGUUAGAAGAUAUGCUGAGGGCCUGUGUGCUAUCGUCCAAGGGAUCACGGGAGUCAUGGUUACCUCUGGCUGAAUUCUCAUACAAUAACAGCUACCAAGAGAGUUUCAAGAUGGCUCCGUUCGAAGCUUUGUAUGGUCGAAGGUGUAGAACUCCGUUAAAUUGCGUUGAACCUGGUGAAAGGAGAUACUACGGUAUUGACUUCGUGAAUGAAGCAGAGAAAAAGGUGUAAAUCAUACAGCAGCAUAUGCAAGCGGCACAAUCGUGACAAAAGAGCUAUGCUGAUAAGAGGAGAAGGAGAAGGCCACUUGAAUUCAAAGUAGGUGACUAUGUGUACCUCAAGGUUACGCCAAUGAAGAAAGUUCAACGUUUCCGAGUUCGAAGCAAGCUUGCACCCAGAUAUGUGGGACUGUAUCAAAUAAUGGAGAGGAAAGGCCCCGUGGCCUACAAGGUUCAGUUGCCUAAAGAAUUGAGUUCAAUCUUUCCGGUCUUCCAUGUGUCGCAACUACGGAAAUGUUUGAAAGUGCCUGAACAGAGGAUUGAACCUCGAGGGAUCAAAAUAAAAACAGACUUAGAGUAUAAAGAGCAGCCAGUGGAAAUUGUGGAUACCAAAGAACGAGUAACCCGAAACAGAGUUGUCAGAACAUACAAGGUGGAGUGGAGUCAUCAUGACGAUCGGGAUGCCACCUGGGAAACUGAGGAUUAUCUAAAAACAGUUUAUCCAAAAUUUCAUAAGAAAUGGUUAGUAACCCAAAUCUCGGGACGAGAUUUCCCUAAGGGGGAAGGGCUGUAACACCCUAGGUGUUAAGCAUGCACUUAGCCUUACCAAAGCAAUGCAUAAGCAUUCUCGUCAAGCAUAGCAUCAUGAGCAUGUCAUUCAUCCCAAAAUAUGAUUUUAUGUGUUUUAUUCCAUGUGCUUUAAAUAUGUUAAAAAUAUGAUGCUUGCUUCUAAAAUUGUGGAAUAUUCAAACUAGGUUGAUUUAUGUGUAAGAAGGUUUAAAAAUAUUUUUGUGCAAUUUUUGGAGCAAUAGAAUUUGAGAAAUGGAAUUUAUACAAAAUCCCCAAAAUGAAUUUAUUUGAAAACCUAGAACUAGUUUUAAUUGGUAAUUCAAAUUCUACUUGGAAUUUGGCCUUGCUUAUUAAAAUAAAGUUGUAGGGUUUUUAUUUUGGAACAACUUUGCUUUAGGGAGAAAGAGGUGAAAAUGAUUUUAAAUUGGUCCAAAUGAAUUUAGAAAAGAAUUUGAGAAAAGAAAUUCAAAAAAAAUGGAAAAGGGGCAGGCGCUGCUGGGCCAACCCCGCCUCCCUUUCGGCCCAGACAGCGGCCCGGCCUACCUCCCCCUCCCCCUCUCUCCCACGCGCGGACGCCCGCCUCGUCCCAGCCAGCAUCGGCCACGUGGCGGCCGUACGCCGGCGAGGAGCGUGCCGCGGCCGACCGGCUUCACCUGAUCGGGACGCCGGCCCGGGCUCCCAGGCCACUCCAUUCGCUCUGUCGCCCGCGUCUCUCUCCCUCCUCUCUCCACUUGCGAGCGCAACCGCAGCCGUAGGAGCUCCGCCACAGCGCCAUCGCCGGAGCAGCUCCGCUGCUCACCGCCGGCCACUCCAGUGCCCCAAUCUCGAUGCCGAAACCACCAGCGCACUCGCCGUCGUCGCGGUAAGCUCCUGCGAACGCUCUACCGAGGUGAGAGCCCGUCGAACGCCGUGAAUCGCUCGUCGGACUUGCUCCGACCUCGCCGGAGAGCUCCGCCUCAUCGAACCUCGCUCGUUUCUGCCCCGUUUCGCUUGCUUCUUGGCGCGUUAGAUCCGUAGUGCGACGGGGAAGCUCGGAGGAGCCCUUGCGCAUGUUCUACCGCACCGGAGCAGCCUGGCCACGGCGAGCAGCACCGCCGUGCCGCCAUGCAUGCUCGUCGGAGGUACUCCGGCCAUCCUCCGGCCAACCCGAGGGUACCGCUGGGUGCGCCUCGCUGCGGGGAGCACGAUGGUGCUCACCCCGUGGCCGGGAACCUCACCGCCGGCGACAUCUGCUCGUCGGAGGUGCUCUCCCUCUCGGUCUCGCUGACCAGUGGGGUCAGAGGCCCACUGUCAGUCGCAGGGGGACCGUGUUGGGUGUAGAUCUAGGUGUCUUUAGCGUUUUUGAUCCCGUUUUCCAAUUGAUUUUCAGAAAAGGUUUUCCAGAAAUCAAUUUAAAACUUGUAAAAUCCAUAUCUUGAGUUCUACAGCUUCAAAUUUGAUGAAAUAAAUUUUGGUGUGCUCUAUAUUUUUAGAUCUACAGUUUGAUGUAAUUGCAUGUCAUGUUUGAACACUUUUUCUGGACAGAAAUAAUUAAUCCAUGCUUUUGCUAAACUUAGAAAAUGCAUAGUAAUUAAAAUAUGGCUCAGAAAAAUGUGAAACUUGAUUUGUUGGCUCUGCAUGUAUGUUAACUCACUGGAAAAAUAUUGCUACACAUUAUUUGGUGUAUAAAUGAAUUUAUAGUGAUUUAAAUGCUUGUAUGGCAGUGGUUUAUGAUUUUUAAUAAAGAUUUGGAUCAUGCAAUCAGUCUGGAAAUUUUUGUGGAUGUUUCUUAUGAUAUUAGACAAAUUAUAAAAAUAUGAAAUCUGCUCUUUGACACUUAUACCACAGUAGAUUAAUUGUACUUGCCUUUAUGUAAUAAUCUUGUGAUUUUUGUAGCUCAAAAUAAGUAUCGAAAAAUUAUGAAAAAUUUAUAGUAGACUUUAUGCUUGACUUGAAGUCUCCUGUAAUUUUUGUGGAAAUUAUAGAUGAACAGAACUGCAUGCAAAUUUUGAUGGGCCUAGAAAUGAAUAAAGAAAAUUAUGAAUUGUUAUAUAUGGGUUAAAUAGAAUAAAAAAGGGUUUGGUGUAUUUUUGAAGCAUCAUGUGGGUUGCUGGUUACACUUGAAAACAAUUGGUAGAAGAGAAUGCAAUAGAUGUUUAAUUCAAUUGUCUGUUCUAGGAUGAUGUUGACUACCUUGUAAUGAGCAUGACCAAGUGAAUCACCUAUGCAUCAUGUCAUGAUCAUUUGGUACCUUCUCAUAUAAGCAUCCACUCGGGCAUCUCGCACUCCACUCAUGAGCACACAUGCAUCAUACAGGCUCGCAGGAGAACGAGGUGGGACCCGAGGGGCCAGAGGAGAUUCAGGAGCAGGAACCUCCGGAAGCACCGGAACCCGGAGAGGAGCUACAGGAGUGUCCGGAUCACCGGCCCAGCACGUUUGAGAAAGGCAAGGCCCGGAGCAUUCUAAGUCUCCCUAUUCUCGCUAACUUACAUGAUAUACUAUGCUUGUUCUACUAUACUGCAUUUAAGUGAUAGGAAUUGCUUGAUACCGUUGAUGCAUAUGCACUCCUUGUUAUCCCUACUCGUUUAUCUACCUUGUCCUAUGUAGAUAGGCGCGGAGUCUAUGCUUAGCUUGCUUAGUCCGGUAGAAGUCGGGUGAUUCCCUGUCACCUGCGAGAUAUAGGUGGAUACCUGCCUGAUUAAGCAGUGGUUGCUUUGGGGAAAAGAAUAACCAAGUACAGAAUGGAAUUGGAGACCGGGCAGGGUCUUAUGGUGGGUUGACCAUAGUGCCCCUACCUGUGUCGAUUAAGGACUGAUCGUUGACGGCCCUCUUGUCAUGUUGAACGCAUGCCCCACAUUUAGCUAGAAGGAUAAGUCGUUCCGACCGCGAAGCCUGAGCACUAUCUGGGCCGGGAAUCGGCCCGAUGUACGCGCUGUAUUGGUGAUGGUUGAGGAGAACGACGAGGGCGCGGCGCGCAACCUUGGUAUACCUUGAAUACCUCGGUCGCCGGAACGGUCCUCGGGUACGGGCGGUGCCUGUCGAACCCGCGAAUUGGUCCUGGAUAGUGCAAUACGGUGAUCUGUAGCUCACUUGAUUAGUGAGUGUGGUUUGUGUGGGGAAUAAACUCGCCAGCUGGUUAGAAAUCGAUUCGAAUCGCCAUCGCUCCUGGAUAGUGAGCACUUGACAUGAGCUUCGUCCUCGUAGUAAGGACUAUGGAACACUUGGGUUAUAAUGAUAAAUGGUUUUAAGAAUGCUAUGAUGAGGUACUAUCAUAUCACUAUACUUGCUUGUAAUAGUGCAGGGGCAAACCUAGAUCAUAGGUAAUGAUACUUUCAACUUGAGCAAAUUACAAGAAGAAAGAUUUAUGUAGGUUAAUAAAAUCUUGUGGUUAUGCAAAAUGGUUGUCAGCUACCCCACUAUAUAGCCUUCAUGAUCCUUGAAGAGUCUUUAUUUUAAGUUUAUGACGGGUAAGUCUAGCUGAGUACAUUCUCGUACUCAGGGUUCUACUCCCAUGUUGUUUUGCAGAUGGUCAAAUGUACUAUGGUUAUUGCAUCCUCUGUCUGUACCCAGCCAUGGGUGAUCACUAGACCAAGGGCGAUGGUCACUCCAUCUUCUCUUCUGCUUUUAUGGGAAUGACCGAACUAUGGCACUGUAUCAGACUAAGUGUGUGUGUGUUGUAUUUUCGAACUAUGAAGCUUCCGCUACUUGAAGAACUUGGUUUGUAAUAAUUUUAAGAACUCUGAUGUAUUUUAUGAAUGUGGUAAUCUGGAUGUAUUUGUGGAUGGCGACCGCUAAACUUAUUACGAUCUUGGCUGUCUGUACGAUAUGUGGUUUGAAAUCCUUCGAGAUUUCACGAACUACCGGGAUUAUAUGGGCUUAAGCUCGAUGGUUUGACUAUGUAAAUGGUCACUGUUAGGCUUAAUCUCUUAUAAUUUGGUCGGUUCUGUUACAACGCCCACGAGGUCUCCUCUAUCGCCUACCUCGAGGCCAUCAUGAUUACGCUACAAAGGAGCUUCCUGUUUCUCCUGCUGGCGCUGCAAGACAACAUCAGAAAGCUGUUCCUGCUGCUCAACAUCAACAAUGCCAAUGGCACCAAAAUUGAGGACAUGUGAGGUGAUUAUUAAAAGGAUUGUAAUGACAUGUCAAAAAGCGGUUCACUGUUGUGCCUACUUGAUAGUGGGUUGUAAAGAUAUUAUGUAAUAAUUAAUUAUUUGAGACUUUUUUACAUUAGAGGAUGAAGCUAGUUACCUAUAAACAUGAAGAGUCGAUGGCGAAGUCGAAGAAGAUCACCAAUGGGCGCCCGUGACGUCGAUUCAAACUAUAUCCAUUAAAUUUGAGCUCAAAACAAUGACAGCGAUAUCACAAAGACAAAAACAACAUGAAAAUGACAAGGGAGGAUGAAGUUAGUUACCCCUAGACCAAGGGAAACAAUGGCAGCGUCAAAGAUGAUCACCAAUGGGCGCCAGAGAUGAAGAACAAGCAAGAACAAGCAAGAACUAGCAAUGGUAAGAGCAAGUACAGCUCACUGAAAUUUGAAUGGGCUCGGUCUCGACCAAGAAGAAGUGACCAUGUUUUAUAGCGUGGGCUUUUAGUCCCGCGCUAAAGAAAGAACAAGGACUAAAAGGGGUCCUCUUAGUCUAGAGACAAGCCACCAACCGGGGCCAAAUCUUUAGUCCCGACUGGUGGCUUGCCUCAGAACUAAAGGGACACCUUUAGUCCCAGACCGUAACACGAGCCGGGACUAAAGGGUCCCUGCCCCGACAGCCCUGUCAGGUAGUUGUUAGGCAGCCGUUGGGCAGGACCCUUUAGUCCUGGCGCAUGUGAUGAGCCGGGACUAAAGGUCUUUUUAAUCCUAGGGCGCAAAGAAGCCGAGACAAUUGUAGAUUUCGGGCAUCGUCCAAAGCCCUAUUCUGUAGUAGUGUUGGUUGUACAUAGGAAUAUAUUUAAAGAGGAGGAAAAGACACUGCUACAGAAUGGUGACAUCAGAAAAGCAACACACCUGAAGGUUCGGACGUCCGAAAGUGACCCCAUGAAUGUUCAGAUUAGGUUCGGUCAUCAAAAAGAAGUAAUUAUAACUCUCAACUCCGUGAAGGUUUGGAGGCCCAUAAGGACAUUUUUGAAAGCUCAUAAAGUCCACUUUCCAAUGUCUUAAUCCCCACAUCAUUUGGACAUCGCAAUCAAGAGUUAUGUUUGGAUUAGUCAACUCUACUUAGAAGGUCAAUAGUUUGUCGUGAUAGAAUGUUGGUUCAACUUGCAAUGCAUAACUGUACCAAUCUAUAAUGUUUCAUGGUUCAUGGAAUAUAUUACUAGAAAUCUCUUAGAGUCUAGUUUCACAUCCAAGAAACGGUUCAUCAUUUGGACUUUCCAAUAAGGAGUUAUGGUCUGUUUAUUGGAAACUGCUCUGGAGGCCAACAGUCACGUGAAACAACUUCGGGAAUCCAUUCCGAGGGGGCCUUUCACAUUGCCUUCCCUCAGAAACUCCAUUUUGUUUUCAUAUGUUUCUAGGAGGGUUGUUCCUAGUAUAAAUAUUCCCUGCCUCUAAGCUAUUAGGAACCUUUGAUUAUUUGAUAAACUAUAUGAUAUUGUAGCCACACUGCUGAGUGUCUUACUCAACCUUUGUUCUUCCUUGUUCUUCUUGGACUUGUGAAGUGAAUCCUCUGGGUUUCCCUACUUUGUGCUCUAUGGCUUCCAUUUGGCUGCACCAUAUUGUGUGGAUUAGUUUUGGAUUGUGGUUCUGUGAUCGUUUGGAGAUCGAGUCGAAGUCUUCAGGGUUUCGGUGCCUCUCUCCCUAUCGCUUGGUAGCAUCCAACCUUUGUCAGGUAUAAAGCAAGUUACCCGUUGUUCACAGCAUGUUAUCUUUGUUCUUUUGAUCUACUAUCGUGAAGAUUGGGCCACCUAUAAUAUCCAGGCCUAGGGCUUAAUAGAAUUAAUACGAUACUCAUACCAACAAGUUACAACUUUUUUUCCGGACGCCCAUCUCCAAAGAACUCUAAAGUUAAGCGUGUUUGGCCUAGAGAAAUUUAGGGAUGGGUGAUCGACCGAAAAGUACUUCUCGAAUGCACAUGAGUGAGGACAAAGUAUGCAGAGAAGACUCGUGUUGGUAUGUGAGGGCUGACUAUGUCCUAGAAAAGCUACCAGAUAUAAGUGGGCUUGGCCUCAUGGAGGCAGGACAUUACAAAAUGGUAUCAGAGCCGACCCUUGUGAUUUCAUGGGCGCGUGUGUCACAGUUAUACAGGCAUGGUGUGCAUGGCUGGUGUGGACCUAGAAUGGUCACACAGCAUGGCACAUGCGCAGGCACUGGAUGCACGGACAUGGCCAAGAGGGGACGUUCCUAGCUUGGGGUUGAUCGAUGAGGACGUCGAUCUCUUAAGGCGGUGAGGAUGUAACAUCCCCGCCCAGGGCUUAAUAGGAUUAAUUAGAUACUCAUACCAAUAAGUUGCAACUUUUUUUCAGAAGCCCAUCUCCAAAGAACUAUAAAGUUAAGCAUACUUGGCCUAGAGAAAUUUAGGGAUGGGUGACCGACCGGAAAGUACUUCCCGGGUGCACAUGAGCGAGGACAAAGUGUGUAGAGAAGACUCGUGUUGGUAUGUGAGGGCUAACUAUGUCCUAGAAAAGCUGCCAAAUGUAAGCGGGCCUGGCCUCAUGGAGGCGGGAUGUUACACCACCCUCGUGCCGAUUCAUACCUAUCAACUAGUCUCAAAGCUUUCGUUGUCACGGUAGGUCUCACAAUAAUCCACAUUUUUACCUCUAGUUUAUCUAUCGUUUGUUACUCAUUUGUUCAUCACCUAUAGUCCACUAAAAAAGCCACAAAAAAUUUCUAUAGCCCUUUGUCGGUACUAUUAUCUUGUGUUUUUGUGUUCAUCAAGUUGCUAGUCACCAUCUUUAUAUAUAUUAUGUCAUGUUUUAUUUGUUAUCCACACCCCUCUUAGUAUAAAGAGAGUUAAAAAAUCAGAGAAAAAAGUUUAAAGAAAAGAAAAGAGAGAGAACAGAAAGAUCCAAAGAAAAGUAAAAGAAGAGGAAAGGGGUUGUAUUGUGGUUUGUUCACUAAAAUUUUCAGUUUACAUAUUCAGAUUCUUGGUGAUUUAUAUACCAGCAACAUUGUUGGUAUAAAUUAACUGCACCCUAUAUAAUAAUUAUAAUUAGAUUAUCCACAAGCACACAGAUAUAUACUGAUCAACACUUCACCAAGAUCAACCCAGUUUUAAUAUCGAACCUAGAGGAAAAGUAGGUGAUUUAUGACCUAGCCUAUAACUCUUAAUCUAAGGGGGGUACAGAUAAUCUAGAAAACUAUUGAGAAUGAGGAGAUAAAUAAUGUACUCUAGUUGUAAUAAUCGGUAAACUUUGUAUAAUAUCGUCUUAUCACACAAGUAACCCGAAUAGGAGAAGAAACAGAGUAAUCUCCUACCAGGCACCUAUAAGCCUAUCAGUCCUAUCAAUGGGAAGUGGACUACACAGAAUUCAAUGUAGCUAUAAAGUCACCUACGUGAGCUACCACUGUCCAGCUAAUCAGGGGGCAUCUACAAGCAACCAUAGCCUAGACACCACGUCUAUGCUACAAAUCACUACUCUGACCUAGGAGCUACCCAAAUCAAAGUACUCAAUAUAACAUGAGUUGCAAACCAAAGAAUGAAUAAAAACAAAUUACUAACUUGAAUCAGAAUGGUAAAUACAAAAGUACCACAGAAUGUAGCUCCGGGCGAGGGAGCCGAAUCCAGAUGAAUACAGCUCCUAAGGAAGCUCCGACAGGCCGAGACUCCUCCGAAUCUCUACUCCUCUACUCUAUCUCUCUAAUAUCUAUCUUGAUUGCUAGCCUAGAUCUAGCGGAUCUCUAUCUAAUGCUCUGACUCUUCAUCUCUUGAUCUGGCCUCCUCCCAUGGUGUCUGGCUCUUUAUUUAUAGCCUGGUGGGAUGGAUACACGCUGUUGGAUCAAACCGACGUAGCAAGCGGCCAAGAUGGCUCCUCGGAGGCGGUGGAGGAAGACUCCAGAAGGGGGCGGCCAACCCUAACCCUAGGGGCCGCCCGAUGCAGGGGUGGGGCCGGCCGGCCCCACUUGGUGGUUGCUAGCCCCCCUGUUGCUUCGGGUGUCUUCUGGAGUAUUCUUGAUCCCUCUGGUGACAUCCUUUUGUCGUGGAUAAGUUUCAUGGUAGAUUAGCACUUAAAUCCCUCUUUUAGGCUUUUCUGGAUAAUUCCCUGAAAAAUACACAAAUCACCAAACCUCUGGAAAUUGUUGUUGACACUUGCUAACACCACUUGAAUACUAGGUUGUCAUCCCCAGCAUGGCACUAGAGUGUACUAUGGCAUUUAUACGCACACAGAUAAUCCGCAAGCGCACGGAUACCGUUAUAGCUUUUUCCUGGUUAAAGGUUUUAUCGUAUCCACAGAGAAACGGGAGAACCAACUACGCUCUAACUUAACCAGGAUAGAUAGAUAAGUGUAAAUAGGAAAGAUGGUAGAAUCGAAUAAGAACAAUAUUAAAGGUAAGAUAACAGUGAGUGAUAAUAUGGGAAUAGAGAAUAGAGCAAUUCUAGUAUAUGGGCGAUGGUAGCAGAAUAGAGAGUAUAACUAUGGUUUCUCUACUUCAAAGGUGUAUGUCUAUGUCUAGGACGAACCACGUGAUAAGAGUACACCACAAAGGAUGCUUAUCCUUAGGCCGAUAAACCCUACCCGUCCUACUAACAAGAGGUGGACUACAGGGGACCAACGUAACUGUCACCUACGCGGCCUACCACACGAUCCAGCUAGACAGGGGAUAUCCACAAGUAAUCUAGAUCUAAGCACCUCACUUACACCUAUACUACAACUCUCACCUAUAGCGUCUUAUAGAUUAAAGUACUCAAAAGAGUUGUGAACCAGAACAUACAUAAUUAGUAAUUGCAUAAUGAAUUAGAAGUAGAUUACCAGAGUCAUCCCAUGAGCAAGCUUGAUUAGAGCUUGAUCAUGACGAAGUACAACCGGAGGAAGAACCGACAGGCCGGCCUCUCCUCUAAUCCUCCUUCGCUCUCCAUCUUGCUACUAUCUAGAUCUACUCUAGUUUAGAGAAGAGAGGAGAGCUCUCAUCUCUAAACCCUAGCUUUUGCUCUGUCUAUGAAUAAUGAAUAAUGAUCAAGGGGGUGCCUCCUCCAAGGGCCAGGGGGUCUGGUUAUAUAGUCUUUUCAGAUGAAUCUGGCCAUCGGAUCAAACCGACAUUGAUCGUGUGGUUUUCCUUGAAGUAUUAGGUCGGUGGACCAUGAUCCGCGAAGUUGAAGCUGAUUGGUUACUGUAGCUAGGCGGGCACCCAAGGGACUUGGGCGGGCGCCCUGCCCCCGGGCCCGAUCGGCCUCCCGUUCGUUCCCGUGGCUUCUGGAGUCUUCUAGAUGGUAGAAAAUUGCGCGGCACGUUAAUAUCUCUAUGUAAACCUGACGUGUGGGCCUUUCUUUCAUAUUUCCUGAUAACCCCCUGCAGAAAUAGACAAACACCAAAACUCGUGGAAUUCUGUCAGAUAAAACCCAAAGUCUAGAUGUUGAUUUCAUUUGGAUCCUUUUCUUUGUUCAUUUGGUAAUUAAAUUUGAUAAUUAAGGACCGUCAACAAACUCCCCCAAGCUUACCUCUUGCUUGUCCCUGAGCAAGGAUAGACUCAGCAAUGGAUCAGAAGUUGUUGCAAUAUCUUAAAAAUUUGACGGUACACAUGCUUUUAAAUAAGAUCUCAUCUCUGAGUUAGAGUAAACUGUCAAGAACUAAAACUUACUUACUUUACCUUUCACCAUGGGACUUGUAACCGUCACAUCUGUCUUGAGUAGUUAAAAGAUAGAACAGUCUAGCCAAGUGCCAUGUCUCUUAUUCUUGAUCAGCUAUAGCUCUGGAGUUUUUGCAGAUUUUCAAAUAAAACUCAGAGAUUCCUUGUAUGACUCUCUAAAUCUCUCUUUUGUGGUAUUUCUGGAUCCUUACCAAGGCAGUGAUGGUAUAUGCCUUCUCUCAAGAUAUGUGGUAUUUGUGGUAUAAGGCAUAGUGACAUUGCCUUCUCUCUCACCCUACUCUAAUAAGGCUUUAAUAUCUGGAGCUCAUAGGUGGGAGAUAAAGUAUACAUACUUACAAGACAUUUAUUGUAUAGUCAAACCAUGGAUCCAGAGAAACAAGUCAAUAAGUCAAAUCAAGAUGUGCAUGUGUGGCGAAUGAAUGGUGUAUGGUGAUGAUGGUGAUAACAAUGGUGGAAGUCUAAUUCUACUUUUGCUCUUUUGAGGCGAUACAUACCUUCCUUGCUUUUUGAAACUUUAUGAGGAGAAUGAGAUGCUCUUCUUUUUCUUUCCUCACAGGUGGGUAUCUUGUACCCCUAAUUCUACUGUCGGACACUUGUCCAUUUUUACCUCACGUCUCACUUUUUCUUUCUUUCGAGGUUCUGGGCACUUGCCCCUUUUUAUUUCCUCGUUUAUUUAUAUAUAUUUUUUUCUUUUCUUCUCUUUUCUUUUUUUUCAGAGCACUCAUCUCUUGAGAUAAUAUAGCAAGUGGUAGUAGCAAGAUAACUUGAGCAUUUAUUUCACAAGGGAAAACAGAAAUAUUUUUGGCUAUUCUCUCCCGGAUUAGGAGUAGAAUAUUUUUGGGUGGUUCUGGAGAUGGACAUGGAUGGAUAUAUGUGGAUGGUACUUUCGGAGUAGAAGUUGCAUAUAUGAGUGAACGUGCAAGUGAAUCUUGAUUUAACCACAUGACAAGCUCCUAAGGGUCUACACAGCUUGACCACACUCAAUGCUCAUAAGCAGUAAAUAGUAAAUGUGUGGCUCAAAGUCUAGCAAGCAUGUAUAUAUGGCUGUGGUAGGAAUUUAAACUCUAAUCAUACAUUAACUCAUCAUGCAAUAUUUUAAAGAUUUUUCAAAGAUAAAAUUCUCCAGAAUUCUAGCAUCUCUAGGAACAGAUAAACAGCAGCUCAACCUUCCCAUAUCAUAUCCGUUAACAACUUAGAUUUCAGAUCAAGUUUUCAUCCCACAAGUUUAGAUCUCCAGCAAGCUUUAAAUUAUAACAGUUAUGUCUAAACUUGAGAGAGAACUUCAAAUUUGCAAAUUAGGCAGAGCAACUAUUCAUCAUAUCCAUGCUAGAGUUUUAUUAUUAAGAUUCAGAUUAACAUAGCCACUUUAUUUAUUAAACACACUAAGCAAAAGAUAUAUAUAUAUAUAAGCACAAAAUCUUUAUUUGGUUUUUCAUAGUUUAUGUAUUUUAAUAUUCUAAUAUAAGUAUAAAGAUAGGUAGAAAUACUUAGCGAGAUAAAUGGGGGUGCUCUCCCCCAAGCUGAAUUUUGACGUAAUUUCUCUUGAUGUAGCUAGCAGGUGGCAGAGGUGUAUUUAAAAGUCAACAGCAUUCUGACAGCGAUUAGAAUGUCCUCCGUCUGCUAGUCUUCUUGAUUCUUAAAUUCUGUGGAGCUCAAAUAGACAACAAAGCUUGUGGAACUAAUUAAAUGUUAGCAUAAAUAUCUAGCCUUCAUCAUGUUGAGCUUCCUCAAUAAAUAUUACUCCCUGUUUUUAUAUUUUUAUUUUAUAAAGCAGAAAAGAAAUAUUUAUUUUAUUUUCAUGCCACCAUAGUGAAGGUACUUAUGGGUUUUAUGCCACUCGUAUACUCACAUAGGGCUUAGUAUUUUUUUAACAUUUUUAUUUUCUUUUCAAGAUAGCAUGAUUAACUAAUAAUCUAUUUAAGAAAAGUAAAUAAUUAAAGGGAAAAGGGAAUGCAGAAAGGAUAAAUAUGGAUAACUACCGAUCUUACCUUUCGGCGAGGGUUCAAUGUUUUAAGUCUUCUUAACAAGACUUCUCACCGUGUUCAUUCUUCAGGUGCGUCAUUUGAUUCAGGUGCGGACCUUGACAUUUGCACCUCUUCGUUUGCCCAGCAGUUCGAAGCGCGGCGUUGGCAGUAUCCUGCUCAAUGUGUUUGUGCUCGUAGAUCGAGGUCCUUCACUUGGUAGAGUCUGAGAGUUAUAAAACUCCUCCAUGUUUUGCUCAAAGUGUACCUGCUCAUAGAGACAAGGCAGAGAUCAAGUGCAUGGGUCCUGUUGGUGGAAAACACCAACAGAACCAAAAGUGUAUUUGUUCUUCUCUAACCCUAAGCAUAGUGAGCAAGACAAAGUUGAUGGAUGAAAAGUUCAUGAGUCUAGCACUUAUAACAUUUGUCAGAUCAGAUCGCUCAACCUUAUGGAAAGAUAAUCUAUCUAUGUAUAUGUCUUUUUCUUUAUAUCUUUCAAUGAUUGAAUGUGUAACAUUUUAGCUCAUAUGAUUAGGAGUGUGGGAUCAUGGAGGUAGUACUAAGAACAAGGAUUAAAGGACUAAACAUGUUGAAUCAGUUGGGUUGGUUAAUCUAGAGUUGUAAAUCAUACAUGUUUGUCUCUUUUAUUUAUAUGAACGCCAGAACCAAGGAGAAGCUUAUAAAAGUGAUAGUCAAGCACCUUAAGAUGUUACCUUGCUUGAAGAGUGAUGGUACAGUAUCACCUUGUGGAAGCUUUCCUUUCUUAGCGGUGGUGCAUCGUGUUUGUGGCACCCUCCAUGGAUCAUCUCUCUAUGAUGAAUGAGCUAUGUCCUUCUUGUGCAAAUUGUUAAACUUCAUAUGUCACUCUCUUCGUCUCUGAUGUGAGUUUAUCUCAGGACUUCCCAAAUCGAUAUUGAAAGUUUUUCUGCAGGGGUUAGUCCGACAAAAAUAUACCAAUGUCUACACAAGCAGUUUUUAGUUCAAUAACCGAACUAGACUCCAUGUCUGUGGGGGUAUAAACCCCUAUACCCUUACGGCUAGACUUCAGCUAGGAAGCUUGGUCCACUACGAGACGAGUUCAAGGCUUGAUCAGACAGCCCGAGUUUCGCGCAAGGAAACAAGACGUGGAGAUCAAGCAGAAUUCUAGUCGGUUAGAAUAGGAAUUGAUAUCGAAUUAUCUAUGGCAAUUGUAACCGACUAGGAUUAGUUUCUAGAUCUGUAACCCUGCCCUCCAGACUAUAUAAGGAGGGGCAAGGGACCCCCCUAGGACAUCAUAUUCUCUCAGCACAAAUCAAUACAACCAGACGCAGGACGUAGGUAUUACGCCAACUCGGCGGCCGAACCUGGAUAAAAAGCUUGUCCGUGUCUUGCGUCACCAUCGAGUUCGUAGUUCGCGCACCGUCUACCGACAAACUACUACCGUGGGUAUACCCCAAGGUAGACUGCCGACUAGCUUUCGUCGACAGUGGCGCGCCAGGUAGGGGGUGUGCGUGCAACUUUUCCGGCGAACAAGAUGGUCACGAUCCCAGCUUCCGCGACCGUGCCCGAAGGCCUCACGUUCACCGUCGGCCAAAUCACGUGGACGACGUGCAGCGGCGGCUUCGCGACCACGGUUCCGAAAGAGGUCCAGAUCCAAUCUGAGAUCACGCCGUCUCCGACCACACGCAUGACGGCACCAAGCUCCCGACCACCGUUCCCACUCUACAAGGGAAAGGAGAUCGACUGCUCGGACCUCCUCCAAGCGCUCGAUCGCGCUGACUCCAAGCUACUCGAAGUCUCCCAACUAAUAGAUGGAGUUCUGCGCCGGCCCGACCAAGCUGCUCGAGCGGAUUUUUCGAAAUCCCGCCGGCCAACUCGUGUCGCCACACACGAAUGGCUGGGAACGUCCCUGACGAUAACCUCAACCCCCUCACGACGAUCCGUCGAGCUCAAAAAGGAAGACUAUCCUCGCGGCCUGAACAACUCGGCCUCUGUUUACUCACGGCAUGUCCAAUCCGUUUUCAGCAAAGCGGGCUGGUCGCCGACAAGGAACAAUCGCCACCAUGUCAACAUGGUGACAAUCCGAGAGCUACGGGACGGCCAGGUUUCCAGCACCAACUCAAGCACCGGCUCCGUCCCCACCGAGGUUAUAAACACCGAAGACGAGGGCUACGACCUGGAUUUUCCUUCACACCCUCCGGGUUUUCGACCAAUUCCCGAUAUUGCCCCCCCGGCGAGGGGAUAUCGUGUUCAAUGUCAGCGCCGACGAACCAGCUGUUGACGGAGAAACAGAUGACCAGAGGCAACUCCGCGAACAGCGUAACGCCGAUCGCGCCCGACGGCGUGCGGACGAGCAACAACAGAUGCCACCAAGUAACCUCAACGAUGCCUUUGACAUGGUCGGGGACCAGCCGGUCUACAAAACGCCAAGCGCCAACGUGGCUGUCGCCAUGGCCAACCUGGAUCGGCUUCCUGACACCCCCGAGUGCUAGGGAGUCCGGACCAGCAUCCGAGCACACCUGAUCGCCGCAAUGGGACAGACAGCCACUCUGCUCAAGAGAGUCCAGGACGUCUCUUAUACGGAAGCCGCCUCCGACCAGACUAAUCGUAGCCGGGCCUCACCCAGCAGGCGUCACCGCAGCCGCUCCCCCGACAACCGUCGAGGAGACUCACGGCGCGACGAUGGUGGUCGGGACGCCGAUGGCCGCCGCCAGCAGAACCGCGUACGCGGCCAAGAAGAAGAAGACCAACACAGGGAUCUCCGCCACAACAUCCCUCCCAAAGAUGCCCGGGACCGCAUCAACAGGCGCGCCGUAGAGAGAGCAGUCCACGAAAACCUGCGCCGCAUCGAGUACGAUGCGACCCACAGUCCUCCGGGCCUAAGGCAGUUCUCCUCACACCUCCGCCAGGUCGUGUGGCCCCGCAAUUUCAAGCUCGAAAAACUUAAAAAAUACGACGGCAAGGAUCACUCUUGGGAAAUCGCCGUCCGAUCAGCGGCAGGAGAUGAGCACGUCAUGGCUAACUACUUCCCCGUAGUCCUCGACCAGGCUGGUCAUCAGUGGCUUCUCGGCUUGCCCGAGGACUUCUUCGACUCUUGGGAAGAGUUACGACAGGCUUUCAUCGACAACUUCAUCGCCACAUGCGAGCAGCCCGGAAACAAGUAUGACCUUGAAAGGAUAAGAGACAGGAAGAAUGAACCUCUGCGCGAUUACAUCCGACGAUUCUCGGAUAUGCGCCUCAAAAUCCCGAAGAUUUCUCAUGACGAGGCCAUAUCAGCCUUUAUCAAGGGCUUGCGUUUCCAUGAAGCGCUGAGGAACAAGCUGUUGCGUAAGCGCCCAUCAACGGUAGCAGAGCUCCUCGCCACGGCUAAAAAUUACGCCGAUGCUGAUGACGCAGAAAAACUAAUCCGAGACGACGCGAGAGGCCCCGACCAGCCUUCUCGGCGAGACGACGGUCGUGGUCGCUACGAAAACAGAAAUCACCGCCGCUCCGACAACCGCGAUCACCGAGAGGGUUGGGAUCGGCGGCGCGACAGCCGCAACGACUUCAGAGGAAAGCGCCCUCGUGAAUACGACCACGAAGUAAAUACGGUCAAACGUCCCAACGGACGACGGGACUACCAAGACGACUACAACAAAACGUUGAAGGGACCGUGCCAGCUACACCCAAAGUCUAACCAUACCAUGGAAGAGUGCCGCGUCCUCAAAAGUAUCUAUACACGGCGGGCCGCCCAAGAGGACUCCGCCAAGAAAAAUAACAAACGCGACGGGCACGACCACGAAGAUGAGGAUGAGGACCAAGACAGGGACCCCCGACACCAAUACGUUAGCCCCACCGACGUGGUCCACUCCAUUUUCGGGGGCAAGGUCUCCACUGAGUCCAAGCGAGAAAGAAAGCUGUUAAAGAGAGCCUGCCUCAACAUAGACAGCACGGACGGGCUGAUCGCAGAUCCGAAGUUUCCCGCCUGGUCCCACAGGGAGAUCUCGUUCAGUAGGAAGGACCAGUGGGCCGCUAUCCCAGAGCCGGGACGUUUCCCACUGAUUCUUGAUCCCUGCAUCAAUAGCAUUAGAUUCGAGCGCGUGCUCGUGGACGGGGGAAGCUCCAUCGACAUCCUUUUCCGCAACAGCCUGCCCGCCCUCAAGAUAUCACCGGCACAACUAAAACCUUACGACGCCCAAUUCUGGGGGGUUUUGCCAGGUCAAAGUUCGGUGCCCCUCGGACAGAUAACAUUGCCUGUCCAAUUCGGCACACCCGAUCACUUCCGGACGGAGUUCAUCAACUUCGUGGUCGCGGAUUUCGACGGGACCUACCACGCUAUACUGGGCCGCCCAUCGCUGACAAAGUUCAUGGCAGUCCCGCACUACUCAUACCUAGUCCUUAAGAUGCCCACGGAGAAGGGUGUCCUAACCAUCAGAGGCAACGUCUACACUGCGUACACCUGCGAAGAAGAAAGCUUCAAGAUCACCGAGGCAAUUGACCUCUCAAUCCGCAUGGCGGAAACAGCAAACCAAGCCGCACAGCUGCCCCCCGACCAGCUCCGAUUACCUGAGCAGGAGACAGCCAGAAAGAAUUCGAAAUCCAAGGAGCACAAAGAAGUGCAGCUGGUCGAAGGCGACCCCGAGAAAACAGCCCUCAUCGGGGCUAACCUGGAUCCAAAAUAGGAAGACGCGCUCGUCAGGUUUCUAAGGGACAACGUGAGCGUUUUCGCAUAGAAACCCGCAGACAUGCCCGGUGUCCCACGAAACCUGAUCGAGCACUCCUUAAACGUCUCGAAGACCGCAAGACCAAUCAAGCAAAAACUGCGACGGUUCGCUCGUGACAAAAAGGAGGCUAUUAGGACAGAAAUAACACGGCUUCUAGCAGCCGGAUUCAUAAAAGAAGUGUAUCAUCCCGAUUGGCUCGCCAAUCCGGUUCUUGUACGCAAAAAGAAUAAUGAAUGGAGAAUGUGCGUUGAUUACACCGAUCUCAACAAACACUGUCCUAAAGAUCCUUUUGGUCUUCCUCGCAUCGACGAGGUGGUCGACUCAACGGCCGGAUGCGAACUCCUCUCCUUUCUAGAUUGCUACUCUGGUUAUCACCAGAUCUCGUUAAAGGAAGAAGAUCAGAUCAAAACAUCCUUCAUCACACCCUUCGGCGCAUACUGUUACACUACCAUGUCUUUCGGACUUAAAAACGCCGGGGCCACUUAUCAAAGGGCCAUCCAGCAAUGCCUCCACGACGAGAUUCGCGAUGACCUCGUCGAGGCCUAUGUGGACGACGUGGUCGUAAAAACAAGGGACGCGAGCACCCUAAUCGACAACUUAGACCGAACCUUCAAAGCACUCAAUAGGUACAAGUGGAAGCUCAACCCCAAGAAAUGCAUUUUCGGCGUUCCUUCCGGCCUACUGCUCGGCAACGUCGUCAGUCGCGACGGCAUACGACCAAACCCUUCAAAAGUCAAAGCCGUACUCGACAUGCGACCACCGAAGAACGUCAAGGAUAUUCAGAAGCUAACCGGAUGGAUGGCCGCCCUCAGUCGUUUCAUCUCAAGGCUGGGAGAAAAAGGCCUCCCUUUCUUCAAACUACUGAAAGCGUCAGAAAAAUUCUCUUGGACAGAGGAAGCCGACGCUGCGUUCACUCAGCUUAAGACCUUCCUCACUUCACCGCCUGUCCUCACAGCGCCUCAGCCCAAUGAAGACCUACUCCUUUACAUUGCUGCAACCGACAGGGUUGUUUCCACGGCAAUAGUGGUCGAGCGAGAUGAACCAGGUCAUGUCUUCAAGGUCCAGAGACCCGUUUACUUCAUAAGCGAAGUUUUAAACGAAUCCAAGGCCACGUACCCACAAAUACAGAAGCUUAUAUACGCCAUCCUGAUAACGUCAAGAAAGCUGAAGCACUACUUCGACGGCCAUCGAGUCCUGGUGACAACCAGCUUUCCUCUCGGGGACAUCCUGCGCAAUAAAGACGCCAAUGGCAGAAUCGUGAAAUGGGCAAUGGAAUUAUGUCCAUUUUCCCUAGAGUUCCAGAGUCGCACCACUGUCAAGUCUCAAGCCCUGGUCGAUUUCAUUGCCGAAUGGACGGAUCUCAACGAGCCUUCCGUUCCAGAUGUCUCAGACCACUGGUCAAUGUUCUUUGAUGGGUCCUUGAACAUCAACGGUGCAGGCGCUGGGAUAUUGUUCGUAUCACCCAACAAGGACAAACUCCGCUACGUCCUUCGGAUCCUUUUUCCGGCGUCAAACAAUGUCGCCGAAUACGAAGCAUGCUUACAUGGCGUACGACUAGCCGUCGAACUGGGGGUCAAGCGCCUCUAUGUCUACGGCGACUCCGCUUUGGUCAUCAACCAGCUCAACAAGGAGUGGGACGCAACCCACGAGAAGAUGGAUCUCUACUGCAAAGAAAUUCGCAAAUGGGAAACUAACUUCUAUGGCAUAGAGUACAUCCACGUGGUCCGGGAUAAGAACCAAGCAGCAGAUGCGUUGUCAAAGUUAGGCUCGUCUCGGGCCCAAAUCCCGCGGGGUAUUUUCGUCCAGGACAUCCACGAGCCGAGCGUAGGCUCCCCCCUGGUCGACAAACGACCCACCGAGGCAAUGCUCAUAGAUGACGCCACUCCGACAACUGGUGGGCGUGACUGGCGUACCCCGUUCAUCAAAUACAUAUCAGACGGGACAGGCUUUCAGGACAAAACAGAGAACGAGCGUCUCAUCCGACGAUCAAAGAACUACAUCCUGGUCGACGGAAAACUCAUGCGGAAAAACGCAAGCUCCGAAGUACUGCUCAAGUGCAUACCCCAAGAUGAUGGUAUCAAGCUCUUGGAAGACAUACACGCCGGAUCCUGCGGCAACCACGCCGCAUCCAGAACGCUGGUCGGAAAGGCUUUCCGAGCAGGUUUUUAUUGGCCAACCGCGGUCAGCGACGCAGAAAAACUGGUUCGGCAUUGCGAAGGAUGUCAGUUUUUCGCUAAGAGGACCCACGUACCUGCCCAUGAAAUUCAAACCAUCCCGUCGUCUUGGCCCUUUGCUUGCUGGGGGCUUGACAUGAUCGGACCAUUCAAACCAGCCCCAGGCAAUUUCAAGUUUGUCUUCGUGUUAAUCGACAAGUUCUCCAAGUGGAUUGAAUACAUGCCCCUGGUCAAAGCAACCUCCGAGAAGGCUGUGGAGUUCCUCAAUCAAAUCAUACACAGAUUCGGCAUUCCGAACAGCAUAAUCACCGACCUGGGCACUCAGUUUACUGGCACCACUUUUUGGGAUUUCUGCGAUGACAGAGGCAUAGUCAUAAAAUAUGUGUCAGUGGCACAUCCACGUGCCAACGGUCAAGUUGAACGUGCUAACGGAAUGAUCGUUGACGCCCUAAAGAAAAGGUUGUACACCGAAAACGACAGAGCACCCGGUCGAUGGAUGAAAGAAUUGCCGGCUGUGGUCUGGGGCCUCCGAACUCAGACCAGUCGAAACACAGGGGUGUCUCCCUACUUCAUGGUGUACGGUGCAGAGGCGGUCUUGCCGUCCGACAUACACUUCGGAUCUCCUAGAAUCGAGCACUUCGACCAAGCGACCGCCGACAACGCCAGAGGACUCGAAAUCGAUUGCAUGGAGGAAAAGCGUUUAGUGUCGUGUCUCCGAACAGCAAAGUAUCUCGCAGCAGUCAGGCGAUACUACAACAGGAAUGUCAAGGACCGUUCGUUCGUGGUCGGCGAUCUGGAGCUUCGAUGGAAAACAAGCCAGGAGGGAAUGCACAAGCUAUCCACUCCCUGGGAAGGACCCUUCGUGGUGACCGAGGUCACACGACCUACGUCCUACAGAUUGGCAUACCCAGACGGAACACGAGUGCCUAACUCUUGGCACAUCGACAAACUGCGACGUUUCUAUCCAUAAAGUUUUAAUGACUUUCUUCUGUAAGUAUCUCAUAAUUUUUGAUAAUGAAAUUCUCUAUUUUUGGCCCAUACCUUGUCACACACAGCACUCGGCAAAACUCCUGCAACGGACGCUCUUAGCGACAACAAAGACAAAUACGGUGACACGUCACUCAGAUAUUCUUGCAGCGCUCAAAACAACAGUCAUGACAAAAAGCAAACUUUAUUACAAACUUUACAUACAAAGUUUACAAUAAAUACCCUGACGGGCAAACACUAGUCUAUUCCUACAGACUACUUUAUUGGCCUGGCUGCUCGGGCUGAUCACCCGCCUGGCCCUGCUGCCCGGACGAAGGGGUCGGGGCCACCGGCGCCUGGCUGGUCGAGACCGCAGGCGUCGACCGCCCAUCUCCCGCAACGGACGCGCCCGACAACUCCCUGGCCGACCUAUCUGAGCUCGGCUGGUCUGGAGGAGUGGCCGUUCCGCACAGAUUGAUGUCGCCGAUCACUGUCGACGACAAGUCCAGCAGAUUACCUCGAAGUUCGUCCGCUUCCUGUGGGCCGACUUCCUUCGGGUACCCCUUCUCCAGCCUGCUCAAGUCGACCAGGGGGUAGUGGGCGCGCACCAUGCUGAGGACGUGCGCGCCGGCAAACUCCCCGGCGUCCUUCACAAACUGCUGGAGCCAAUCCCACGCCCGUUGCGCCUUCUCGACCGGGGUCAACUGCGGCGCGCGGGGCUGGCUCUCCGGGAGCUCGGGACUGAUCAGGUCUAGGACCGGGGACACUCCCUUCCAGAUCCUGCAACAGUUGACCUUCCAGGAGUCCCGGUCCUUGAUCAGCUCAUCCAGGUGCUUUUUGGUGUUCACCUUGAGCACUGCAAACGAAACGAAACGUUACUUUCGGCAUACCAGACAAAUAAAGGGGCAGGCAGCAACCAACAAGGCGGCACUCAUUACCAGAUAGCUCCCGGUGUUUUCGACCCAAUUCCUCUUCUGCUCGCCGCCCGGACUCCAGCGCACCGGCGAGCUGUUGGCUGAGCUGCUCCUUCUCUUGUUGGAGGCUCGCCACCUCCUCCUCCAAGUCUGCGUGAAUCCUAAACUGGUCAGCAAAGCAAACUAUACAAGUACACGAAGCUGCUCGGAGCGUGUGACUAACCUUCCUGCAGCCGGUACUGGUCGGCCAGACGACGAGCGAGGUCGAGACGACGCUCCUUUUCGGCACUCAUCUCGACCACCUUCUCCCCGACCUCCGCGCGCAACCGGUCUACCUCCGCGGCAAGGGCCUUGUUCUCGGCCAUGACGCCUUCUAUCUGGUCAAAGCACCGUUUCCGGUACUUCGCCGUUUUCAUUACGUCCUACAAAGCAAGGAUAUAACGACCAUGCAAGACAAGGCAAAAGAAUGCGCAGCAGUACAAAGAGCCGCUUACCUUGACUUCGUCGACAAGGCGCUUGGCCGCGCGCUCCACCCUGGCGGCCUCUUCGGUCUCGGCGAGCUCCUCAUGACCGAUAAAGUGAUCCCCGCGUUGGCGCCACACAUACACGUGUUGGCGGCCAUCACGGGGACGACCCUCGAUCUCUUCCACCUCGUCAUCGGAGGCCGCCCGGGUUUCCUCCUCCUGUGCUACGUCACCCCCGGUGGUGGUCCCAGGCAUUACUGGCCCUUGGACCAGACCUGGGGAGCCCGCAGCCGAAGAGGCUCCUGCUCGGGGCGGCGGGGGGACUUCACUCCCCCCGGCAGGAGGAGCGGUCGGAGAUCUUCCCUUCUCUGCGGAGUCAGUUGGGGGAGCCUCUCCAGCCCUGGUCGGGCUGCUUGUUGUAGUCGGCGCCGCGCUUGGGAGCCCCUCGGUGCUCCCAGGCGCGCUCGCAGCUGUUGGCUGCUCUGUGGUCUGGGGGGCCGCAUCCCCAGAACCGCGGGCAGGCUCGCCCGUUCCCUGGCUGGCAGUUUGGCCAGGGUCGACAUCCGAUGCCGCACUACAGGAACAAAAGUUAAAAAAAAAAGAUGAGUCCAAAAUACGUAAGUCGAACACUUACAGGUCUGACCGACGGUGGGUCGCGGUGAACCUCCUCCUCGCCCGGCCGGUCGGCACCUGUGCCCCCAUCUCAGCAACUUGCGGGGCAGCGGCGCCGCUGGCCACUCGAUCAGUGGCGACCGGCGCAGUGUCUGGGCGGCUCCGAGGCCGUCGAACCAACGACGGCGCAGCCUCCUCGUCGUCGUCGUCGUCGACGAUCCGCACGAGCCGACGACGCUUCGGUGCUUGGCUGCUCUCCGCCGGGAGAUCUGCCGGCAGCCCCGGUGUCGGCAAGGGAUCUGCCGGCAAUGGCCUUUUCCCCGCAACCCUCUCCUCGGAGGUCGGGACGGGGCGGGCUCGGUCUUCCUCACUGCUGGUGUAAUGAGUACACCGAGCAGCGUCCUCCUCUGGCGGGACCUCUCCCACCGGAUUUUCCAUCCCCGGUGCCAGUGAUACAUACACUGCGCACCGGUCGACAUCACCGACCUGCAAAAGCAACAGAGAUGAGUCAACUGCAGACGAUAUAUGAAUGAUCAAACAGAAUCUGCUACAUACCUUUGGUGCUGGUCGUCCUAACUUGAAGGCUUGCACCCGAUCACUGCCACGGAUGAAGCCCCCAUCCGCGAAGUUAAACAGCUCGUUCAACAGCUGUUGUACCUCCGCUUUCUCCAAGAUCUCCGACCGCAUCCUGGUCGGGUCUGCGCUUCCGGCAUACUCGUACGCCGAGUGCACCCUCUUCUGGCAGGGCAUCACCCGGCGGCAAAUGAAGUUGCCGACCACGCCAAGCCCGUCUAGGCGCGACCAGUCGAUCAGCUUCAUGAGAUCCGCCACUGGUCCGUCGAACUCCGGUCGGUCGGUCCAGCUCGCCCUCUUCUCGGGAAUGUAUCCAACGUCGCAGAACGUGGAGCUGCCCGGUUCCUCCCUGAUGUAGAACCACUUCCUGUACCAUUCGGUCAAGGAAGUGUUCCAUGGGCAAUGCAGGUAGCGAUUCUUCAUCCCAUCACGAAGGUUGAGGUAUACUCCACCUGCAACCUUGGAGCCUCCAACUGCUCCCUUCUUCCUCAAGCAGAAAAGAUACCGGAAAAGAUCAAAGUGCGGCUCUAUGCCAACAUAGGCCUCGCACAGGUGGAUGAAGGUGGAAAUAAGGAGAAUAGAGUUCGGGUGCAGAUUGCAAAUCCCGAUCUCAUAGUACAAAAGAAGACCUUGAAGAAAAGGAUGAACAGGAACACCAAAGCCUCUCUUAACGAAAUCUUCAAAAACGACGAUCUCACCGGCGCGAGGGUCGGGGUAGCUCUCCCCCUCCGGUGCCCUCCAGCCGCCGAGCUCUGCGCCGUGCAGAAGCCCCAUAUCGACGAGGUCACCAAGAGAUUUUGUGGUGCUGCGAGAUUUCUUCCACUCCUUGGCCAUCAGUUCGGCCCUCUUCCUGCAGUCGCUCUUCGCCAUUAGAGGUGCGAAUGUGGGCUGGAGUUAGGGAGAUGCAGGAGACUGGAGAAGAUGAGAGCGGAAGGUUUGAAGGCAAUGGCAGGCGAAGCGGUACAGGAGGUCCUAUUAGGCCCUUAUAAACCCGCGACCCCACCUCUCCCACUUCCUGUAUUCUCGGGAAGUGGGCAGGCCAUGCGGCGGACGCGGCGUUUCGGUUUACAAUGAUUACAGACAAUUAAGGCCGCGGAGUUUUCGUACCAAUUGAUGGUUUCCUUUUCUCAAACCAUGCAAAGAGCGGUUGUACAGUUGCCAGGUGCAGCUUUUCAUGCAUCUGUCUGACAUAUCAUCAGGAGACCGCGUCACGUCAACUUUAACUAGAAAGAUCUUUUCAAAAGUAAGAAGACACAUACGCCAGUGAGUCAACAAUCCGAGGACUGCACCGACCACCGAGCACUCGACGCUCGGGGACUGGUCGCCCAGUCUAUCAGCUCGGAACUUCAAGGACUGCACCGACCACCGAGCACUCGACGCUCGGGGACUGGUCGCCCAGUCUAUCAGCUCGGAACUCCAAGGACUGCACCGACCACCGAGCACCCGACGCUCGGGGACUGGUUGCCCAGUCUAUCAGCACGGAACUUCAAGGACUGCACCGACCACCGAGCACUCGACGCUCGGGGACUGGUCGCUCAGUCUAUCAGCUCAAAGCUUUAAAGCAUGCACCGACCACUGAGCAUUCGACGCUCGGGGACUGGUCGUACAGUAUAGCAACAUAUAAUUCCAAGAAGCACACUAAGUGCUUGGGGACUGGUCGAUUGGUCUUUUCAAUUGCAGACGAGCAUGACAUGCUCGGGGACUGGUAAGUUCAAUUUUUUAGACCUUGCUACAAGGCUCAUACUUCGCCUUCCAGCAAGCUCGGGGACUACAUCGGUACGAUGCAUCUAGCGAUGCAUCUCAGUCUCAAAACUACUUUGGGGAAUUUUCUUUUGACCCUGGCACCACGUGCCUACGCCACCUACUACCAGGCUCGGGGACUAAGUGGGCACACUUCACCUAGCGGUGAAUUUGCUUGCUUUUUUGAUGCUUCUACAUUUCAAAAAGGCAAAGUGGGCACACUUCACCAGGAAAGAAAUUUUUUUUUAGAGCACCAUGCAUUCUUCGAACAACCUGCUUCUUCGAUGUCAAUGUUGGUCAACUGUCUUUCGAGUUGGUCAAGGAACCGUUGCAACUGUUUGGGCGAUUUUCCCGCUUAUUGAAGACGACAGGCCUCGCUGAUCGAAGAAGCUCAAGACGGCGUGUUGCAUCACAAUACAUGGCGCUCGGGGACUAGCUGUGGGGGUAUAAACCCCUAUACCCUUACGGCUAGACUUCAGCCAGGAAGCUUGGUCCACUACGAGACGAGUUCAAGGCUUGAUCAGACAGCCCGAGUUUCGCGCAAGGAAACAAGACGUGGAGAUCAAGCAGAAUUCUAGUCGGUUAGAAUAGGAAUUGAUAUCGAAUUAUCUAUGGCAAUUGUAACCGACUAGGAUUAGUUUCUAGAUCUGUAACCCUGCCCUCCAGACUAUAUAAGGAGGGGCAAGGGACCCCCUAGGACAUCAUAUUCUCUCAGCACAAAUCAAUACAACCAGACGCAGGACGUAGGUAUUACGCCAACUCGGCGGCCGAACCUGGAUAAAAAGCUUGUCCGUGUCUUGCGUCACCAUCGAGUUCGUAGUUCGCGCACCGUCUACCGACAAACUACUACCGUGGGUAUACCCCAAGGUAGACUGCCGACUAGCUUUCGUCGACAAUGUCUAAUCAGAUUAAAGAAGGCAGUUUAACCUAAGCACCAUGCUUAAUUUUAAAGCCAAUAGAAGUAUGUGCAGUACUUCCAAACUAACACUUACUAGUAAAUAGACAAAGGUAACAUGACAGCAUUUAUAGAGAUCUACUCAAGUGGAGAUGAAGUAGUGUGAUUAGUAUUUAACAAAUUGAGCAUGUCUCAAAGGUAGGGACAACCAACAUAGCAACAUGGCAAAGGAUGUUUUUAUGUAAAGUACUCCCCCAAGCUUGAAUUUUGCAGAAUUCAAGUUUGGAUGAAUUUAAUUCAGUGUUGCAUGAUGAUUGGUUGGACAUACCUUGUACUUGCUUGUCAUUCAUCCGAUCUUCUUGUUCCAAUCCUGGAAAGGUUAGUGACAAGAAUACCCGAAGGAAUAUUUUUACAAUUAUCCUUAUAUGCUCAAUACACAAGGUAAUGUUGCAAAUAAUUAAAAACUCAUGUUAUGAUCUGAUCAGUGCUUAUUUUAGGACACUAAGCUUGUCCUUGGGAAACCAUCAAUUUAUGUCGGCGAAGUGGUUUCCCUUCAAACGCUGACCUAUAUCAAGAUCAACUCAACGAGAUCUGCAAUAUUUAUUAUAGACAUAUGCAUCGACAACCGCCCUUUUAAAGUUUUUAUAAAUAGAAAGGAAGAGGGGGUUGGAGAUCUCAAAUGUGGUGAUGUUGGAGAGACCAAUAGAUUGGGAAGAUGUUUCAUAUGAGCAUGGAGUAAAUGAAGUGGUUAUGAAAUAAAUUCCAUGCUCAUUAAUGUUAUCUUCGUCUCUAAUCUGAAUGUUUGGAGUUUCUCCUGGAUUGGUCUCACUUAUGUCCUCUUCUAUAUUUGGAUGAAUCCCAUCUUCAAGGGAGUCAAGAACUCACCAUUUGAAAUUGAACCAAAGUCAGAAUUCAUUAAGGCUUCUUCCUUAUCCAUCCAUUCUACACAUUCUAGCCAUUUAGAACUUGUGAUGAGGAAAGGGGAGGUGUUAGAAUUUUCAAUAUGGCUUAGCUCUCCUUCACUUGAUAUGUCAUCCUCGACUUCCUCAUAAUAGGAACCAGGACAUUCUCUAAGAGAACCAUUAUUGCGAGGAUUUGAAUUAUCCCUGCUUGAAGGACUCUUAUGGAACCAGAAGUCUAAACCAUCAGCAUCUGAAAGAUUUAAGGUCGGAAUUCCUUCCUCCCUUGGAGAAUUUUGGGGUAUUGAUGGUUUAGGAUCGAUAGCUAAAGUUUGGAAUUGAAGUGGUUGUGAUCUGGCUAUCGAAACUUCUUCUUCUUGUCUAGGAACUAGUUCUGUCUCUUUCUCAGGGAUAUAAAAGCUAGGAGACUUUCCACUUAAUAAAUCAAUCAAAUUCCAAGCUUCACUAGCAGGUAGGUGAUAGAAGGAUCCUCUAGAGGCUGUAUUCAAGGUUUGCUUAUUUUCCCCACUAAGGCCCUCAAAAAAGUGAAUUAGAAGAACUUCUUCUGGAAUAGAAAGCUUUGGGCAGUGAGAGUAAGGUUAAUAAAGCGGUCCCAUGAUUUCCUAAGAGAUUCUUCUUCCAGUUGCCUAAAAGAAAUAAUCUCACGCCGAAGUUCCGCCACUUUGGAGAUUGGAAAAUAUUUUAAAAUAAAACUAUUAUGUAACUCCUUCCAAUCUCCAUGAACACUCCCUACUUUGAGUUUAUACCAAUGUCUAGCUUUUCCCGUUAAAGAGAACGGAAAGAGCUUCCAUUUAUGGGUCUCAUCAGACAUGCCUUCAAUGCGAAGGAGGUCACAGACUCGAUAAAACUCUCUUAGGUGUGUGUAUGGGUUUUCCUCACCUUCUCCUGAGAAAGGUUGUUUUUGAACAAAUUCUAUGUAUUCGGGGUCUAUCUCAAAACUAGAUGCUAUGAUAGGCUUUGAAGAUUUUGGUGGUUCGAGAUGUGUGCCCGUAGGUCUAUGAAAUUCAUAGAUAGACGUGUUUGAAUUCAUGAUAGACCAGAGAUCAAGGAUUAGAUAAGAAGAAAGAUUAGCAGAGAUGAGGCAAAGGAUAAAAGGAAAAAAAAAAUUUAUUUUUUUUAGAAAAUGAUUAAGCUAGUUCGUAGUCAACUCAGCAACCGUUUCCCUGGCAACGGCGCCAAAAAAUGCUUGUUGACACUUGCUAACACCACUUGAAUACUAGGUUGUCAUCCCCAGCAUGGCACUAGAGUGUACUAUGGUAUUUAUACGCACAGAGAUAAUCCGCAAGCGCACGGAUACCGUUAUAGCUUUUUCCCGGUUAAAGGUUUUAUCGUAUCCACAGGGAAAAGGGAGAACCAACUACGCUCUAACUUAACCAGGAUAGAUAGAUAAGUGUAAAUAGGAAAGAUGGUAGAAUCGAAUAAGAACAAUAUUAAAGGUAAGAUAACAAUGAGUGAUAAUAUGGGAAUAGAGAAUAGAGCAAUUCUAGUAUAUGGGCGAUGGUAGCAGAAUAGAGAGUAUAACUAUGGUUUCUCUACUUCAAAGGGGUAUGUCUAUGUCUGGGACGAACCACGUGAUAAGAGUACACCACAAAGGAUGCUUAUCCUUAGGCCGAUAAACCCUACCCGUCCUGCUAACAAGAGGUGGACUACAGGGGACCAACGUAACUGCCACCUACGCGGCCUACCACACGAUCCAGCUAGACAGGGGAUAUCCACAAGUAAUCUAGAUCUAAGCACCUCGCUUACACCUAUACUACAACUCUCACCUAUAGUGUCCUAUAGAUUAAAGUACUCAAAAGAGUUGUGAACCAGAACAUACAUAAUUAGUAAUUGCAUAAUGAAUUAGAAGUAGAUUACCAGAGUCAUCCCAUGAGCAAGCUUGAUUAGAGCUUGAUCAUGACGAAGUACAACCGGAGGAAGAACCGACAGGCCGGCCUCUCCUCUAAUCCUCCUUCGCUCUCCAUCUUGCUACUAUCUAGAUCUACUCUAGUUUAGAGAAGAGUGGAGAGCUCUCAUCUCUAAACCCUAGCUUUUGCUCUGUCUAUGAAUAAUGAAUAAUGAUCAAGGGGGUGCCUCCUCCAGGGGCCAGGGGGUGUGGUUAUAUAGUCUUUUCAGAUGAAUCUGGGCCGUCAGAUCAAACCGACAUUGAUCGUGUGGUUUUCCUUGAAGUAUUAGGCCGGUGGAGCAUGAUCCGCGAAGUUGAAGCUGAUUGGUUACUGUAGCUGGGCGGGCGCCCAAGGGACUUGGGCGGGCGCCCUGCCCCCGGGCCCGAUCGGCCUCCCGUUCGUUCCCGUGGUUCUGGAGUCUUCUAGAUGGUAGAAAAUUGCGCGGCACGUUAAUAUCUCUAUGUAAACCCGACGUGUGGGCCUUUCUUUCAUAUUUCCUGAUAACCCCCUGCAGAAAUAGACAAACACCAAAACUCGUGGAAUUCUGUCAGAUAAAACCCUAAGUCUAGAUGUUGAUUUCAUUUGGAUCCUUUUCUUUGUUUAUUUGAUAAUUAAAUUUGAUACUUAAGGACCGUCAACAAUUGUCAGUGAUAACCCUAUUCUAGUAGAUAUUCAUGUAUGGUGGAGAGUUAAUAGAUAACAAAUAUUGUGGGUUAAGAGGUGUCAACAAUUACCCCACACUUAGGCUUUUACUCGUCUCGAGAAAAAGAUGGGUUCUAUUAUAAAGAAUAAACAUUCAAUGCAUAACUUGGAAAUUAAAUUAUAUAAAACUAGCCUAGCUACCAUGCAUUGUGGAAUUUUAAAGUGUUUUAUCAUGAAUUCUGUAGUGAUUGUGGAGUAGGAUAGCUUAAAACAGAUUACUCUCUUUCUUUAAUUAUGUCUAUUGGAGAGUAAGUGGAGUUUGCAAAUAACACAUAGCUUUGACCUUCUCUUAUUUGUAGUGACAUCAACGGUUGUUAUAUUAAUUUGAUAUUCAUAACCGGGGAGAGAAAUAUCAUAUUCCUAGAUUAGAAAAAUCAUCCACUCCUUGGCAUAUUAUGUUGGAGGAACCAUGAGCUCUUUUUUAACUAAUUCUACUUAUGAGCACAUGUUCAUAUUUCUUUUCUUAUUGAAUCAAGGUUCUGGACACUUGUCCCUUUUUAUUUCCUCGUGAUCUAUCUUUUUGAGGUUUCAGACACUUGUCCCUUUUUAUUUCCUCGAAUUUCUUUAUGAAUAGCUCAUGCCUCCUUCAUAAUAAUGCUUUUGUUGGUGCAAAAGCUGAUCUGCAAACACAAAGGGCUAAUACCCGAUUCAAACAUUAAGGCGUGCCAGCCAAUUUGACCUUACUAUCGGCAAAGGUGGUAACUCGAAUACUUUGGUCCUGACAACAGCAAUGCGCCUGGAUGUCACGGCCAAGAGGUACUCACGCGGAACUCAAGAAUACGCCGAGCUUAAGUCAACGAAUUACUAAGAACUCGUAGUAAAAAGGAAAAUAUGACGAAGUUGUCGAAAAAGUAGAUGCUGGAAUAUGAGUAAAAAAUUAUGUUUGAUUGAUUGAUAGAUAUCUCAUUACAAGGCCCUAGGGUCUACAUUUAUACCCUGCUCAAAGAUCUACAAUCAGACACGACUAGGACUCGAAUUCCAAAUUAAACAGAAUCCGUGUACAAAACGAAUUUAAAUAACUAAGGAAAACAUAAAACCACCCCCCUUGUAACCGACCGGGACACCGCCACAGAUCAAUCGGCAACCUCCACACUUUCCUUCAGAGUCAUCGGCAGUCUUCCUGUUAUGGCCAUCGGCAAACACCAAUAUUAAUCAUCAGCAAGAACACGUCACCACCUCUGGACUUAGUCAUAUUCAAUCGUCUCUUCAUCGGCAACUACCCUCAUCGGCAACUCUUUUGUAGGCUAUUUACCGUUGCUCCACCUGCCGAUCUAUACUCUACUGGUCUCUGGGUACGCGUCCAAAAACGGUGUCAACACAUGCCCCCCAAUUUCGGAGUAUGGAAUCAUUAAUGCUCCGAAAUUCUCUGCAGUAAUGAUGCCUUUCCGCAAUUAAUUCUCCCAAUUUGGUAACCGACCGUUUAAAUCUGAACAACCUCGGCCCGAUUCUCCUGCAGGUUCCUCGAAUUCCUCAACCUUCCGAACCGGAUCUCUCCACUUUAUGCGUCCAUCGGCAAUAUUACCGUUAGAGGGAACUGCCGAUGGACCGACCAAGAAAUCCCGCACAGUGAAAUAUCUCCAGAUCAUGACCGCUUCCUGUCAAAUCACCUGCGCAAUCCCUUGAUUACUGUGCGAACAGUUACCAUAUCCACCUGAGUAUUGUAACACCCCAGUGUUAUGGUUGCUUUAAUCAUGUGCAUAGUAUGAGCAUCAUCAUCUACUCAAAGCAUAUCAUGAUCAUCAUCUAUCUUGAGCCAUGUCAUUCUAUGCAAAUAUGUAAUCUAAAUUGCUUAAAUAGGCUUCCUAUGCUUAUGUUGGAGUGAACCAUGCUUGUGUUUGUGCUCUAUGCCUUGGUAAUUAGUUUAUUUAUGUUUAACUUAACCUUGGGAACAAUGUUCAUGUUGAUCACUUCUCCAAAAUAAUCAUUUAAGUCAUACUUGUGCUAAUAGGCCCUAGAAACCUCUUUUGCUUAGGCUUUUAAAAAGUGUUUCAUAAAAUGUUUGCAUGUCAAAACUUUCUACAGCAAAGUUGUAGUAAAUUUUAUAAGGAACAAAAGUUGUUUUAUGGCCAUCUCAUGAAAAUGACCACAAAUAGCUCAAAAGUGACCCACAACGCAAAUUUGGGGCUGUUUCCAACACUAGUUUGCUCGAUCGAUUUUGAAAACUUUAUAACUCUCAAUCCAUGCCGAUCUAGCUCUUGCUCCAGUUGAAAGAGUUGUAGAUCUCGGCUAGUACUCCAACUUUGUCAACUACAUCAUCUCCUAACUCGCUCUGGUUUGGAAGUUAUUCAUCGUUGAAGUCGCUCUGUCAGACAGUCGCCGUUUUCUCUGAAUCGAAGCCGAGCUCGCCGUCGUGGAUGGCCAGAGCGCCACCUGUCCGCCAGAUGGCGCCCAUAUGCCGGCGAUGGCCCCGCUCGUCAGCUCCCAGCGCGCGCAUGACGUCCACGGUGACGCCCCGAGCAGAGUGGACGCGUCCACUCUCGCUUCCUCGCCCUCUCGCGCCUGUAACCCGACCGCAGCGAGCUCACCGUCGCGAGCUCACUCCGGCGAGCUCGUGUGCGCUCCUCGCUGCGUCUCAGUCCACCAAAUUCCACCCACAGCUCCGCCAUGAGCCGCUCUUCACUUCCCACCCUCUAACUCGCCGCGAAACCCACCGGUGAGCCGCCAUUUCCUUCUUCCCCCAACUCGGGUCGUCGUGACCAUCUUUUCCGGCGAACUCAAUGCCGGGCUCUGUGAAGCCGCUCGUCUUCUCUGGUUAGGUCCGAGAGGUAGAGUAGGUUCUCAGCGAGCGUUUGCGCCACUUGGUGGACGCUCUACCGAACUCUCCGUCAGCGGACACGAUGCGCAGCGCCGCCGUGUUUCCGCCGGAGAUGGGUGCUCUCGUGGCCAGCGUGCUCCACGAGGUUUCAAGCCAAGCCGCGUACAAAAGUUCCGCUUGCUUCGGUUGACUGAAGGUUUGAAGGCAGAGUAUGUAGCUCAUCAACUGCAGGGUCCAACAGGCAUCUGGUGGAAUCAGUAUCGGGAAGCUCUUCCAGCCGACACUGUGCUUGACUGGAAUCUUUUCCGUGAUGCUUUUAAAGGGCAUUUCAUUCCUCCUGGUGUCAUGGAGAUGAAGCAUACUGAGUUCAUGCAAUUAACCCAGGGUAACAAAACUUUGAAGGAGUAUUUGCAUGCUUUCAAUCAUUUGUCUAGGUAUGCUCCAGAGUUUGUGAACACUGAGGCGAAAAAGAUUGCUAGUUUCAAGCGGGGUUUGGGCCCCAAGUUGCUGAAGACUAUGGGCCGCACUAAGUGUGCAACUUUCAAUGAGUUUGUCAGUGAUGCUCUCACUCAAGAGAACUAUAACACUGUGUACACUGCUACCAAGACUCGCAAGAGGGCUUUUGAGGCCGGGACAGGGUCAUCUCAGUCCAAGGCUCCAGUGGCAGCUAAGCCACCGUUCCGCGCUCCAACGCCUAACCAGCGGUACCGCCCUCCGGUGAAGAAGAAUCAGGCGAAGACGGGUUUUCGCAAGGGGUACUCUAUUGCUCUUCCUAAGGGCAACACGGGUCCCAACUAUGCCAAGACUCCACCUGCCAACCGUCUGUGCUGGAACUGCAAUCAGACCGGGCAUUGGCAGAGCAACUGUCCUUACCCGCCAAAGAAGGUCAAUCAAGGGAAUGUCCGUCAGGGGCGUGUUCACUACACUACUGUAGAAGCAAUCCCUGCUGGUGAGGUAGUUACGGCUGGUAAGUUUCUAGUCAAUCAACAUGACGCACUUGUGCUUUUUGAUUCAGGAGCAUCGCAUUCUUUUGUGAGUUCUGAAUUUGUGUCUAACAAUAAUAUCAAGGCAUUUACACUUGAUAAGGGCAGUUAUUGUAUUAGUGCUGCGGGAAAUGAUAUUUCCACCAAUCAAGUGGUUUUGGGGGCAACUCUGGAAAUAGGAGGCCGUCAGUUUCUUGCUGAUUUGGUUGUUCUACCCGGUGUGGGCAUAGAUCUAAUUCUGGGGAUGAAGUGGAUGAGUGGCAAUGGAGUUCUUAUCGACACCACCACUCAUGUAGUGAUGUUGAAAGACCCAAACACCAAGAAGGCAUUUCUAGUGCAACUUCCUCGGGAUAUUCAAAUCCCUAGCACUAUGAAUGCAGUUACAUCUAAGGCUAUUCAGGAUAUUCCGGUGGUGUGUGAGUUCCCGGAUGUUUUUCUUGAUGAUUUGCCCGGGCUUCCUCCGGAUCGGGAUGUGGAGUUCAAAAUUGAAUUGAUUCCCGGUACCGCUCCUAUCUCUAGAAGACCUUAUAGAAUGCCACCCAAUGAAUUAGCUGAGCUUAAGACCCAGUUGAAUGAGUUGUUGAAGAAGGGUCUUAUCCGUCCUAGUUCAUCUCCGUGGGGUUGUCCGGCUAUCUUUGUGAAGAAGAAGGAUCAAUCCUUGUGCAUGUGUGUGGACUAUCGUCCCCUAAAUGCGGUGACCAUCAAGAAUAAAUACCCUCUUCCUCGCAUUGAUAUCUUGUUUGAUCAGUUGUCUAAAGCCAAGGUAUUCUCCAAGAUUGACUUGCGAUCUGGGUACCAUCAGAUCAAGAUCCGUCCUGAAGAUGUACCUAAGACAGCUUUCUCGACAAGGUAUGGGUUGUACGAGUAUCUCGUCAUGUCCUUCGGUCUUACAAAUGCACCUGCUCACUUCAUGUAUCUCAUGAAUUUGGUGUUCAUGCCCGAAUUGAACAAGUUUGUGGUGGUCUUCAUUGACGAUAUCUUGGUAUACUCCUGCAAUGAAGAGGAGCAUGCAGAGCAUCUGCGUAUAAUGUUGUCGCGUUUGCACGAACAUCAGCUUUAUGCCAAGUUUAGCAAAUGCGAGUUUUGGCUGAAGAAAGUACCUUUCUUGGGCCAUGUCUUAUCUGAAGAAGGCAUAUCGGUGGACCCAACCAAGGUGCAAGAGGUGCUGGAUUGGAAAGUUCCAACUUCGGUACACGAGGUUCGGAGUUUUCUUGGUCUGGCUGGAUAUUAUUGUCGAUUCAUUCCUGAAUUCUCAAAGAUAUCUAAGCCUAUGACUUGUCUACUUCAGAAGGAUGAGAAGUUUGUGUGGACGCCUGAGUGUGAAGAGGCAUUCCACAAGUUGAGGACAUUGCUGACAUCAGCUCCUGUCCUAGCUCAACCUGAUAUCGAAAAGCCCUUCGAUGUCUUUUGUGACGCGUCAGGCAUUGGUUUAGGCUGUGUGUUGAUGCAGGAAGGUCGCGUUAUCGCGUAUGCCUCGCACCAACUUCGAAAGCAUAAGGUUAAUUACCCUACUCAUGACUUAGAAUUGGCAGCAGUUGUUCUUGCUUUGAAAAUCUGGAGGCAUUAUUUGCUGGGUAAUCUGUGUAAUAUCUACACCGAUCAUAAAAGCCUCAAGUAUAUCUUCACUCAACCUGAACUGAACAUGCGGCAGCGAAGGUGGCUUGAGUUGAUUAAAGAUUAUAAUCUACAAGUGCACUAUCAUCCGGGCAAGGCGAACGUGGUAGCGGAUGCCUUGAGUCGGAAAGCGCACUGUCACUCAAUCCAAGUCGAAGAUCUGUUGUUAUCACAUCUUAUGCAUCCAUUUGUGCUCCACCAGAUUUCUUUAGAGAGUGCUCUUCGCAAUCGAGUCAUCGAAUUGCAGCAAUCAGAUGUAGGCAUCCACCAUAUAAAGAGGAAAAUGAAGGAAGAGGAAACCAAGCAUUUCCGGAUCGAUGAGAAUGGGAUUCUUUGGUUCAAAGAUCGACUAGUGGUCCCAAAAGACCGCGAGCUGCGAAAUCAGAUAUUGUCUGAAGCUCAUUCAUCCAAAUUGUCUAUCCAUCCUGGUAGUAGCAAGAUGUAUCAGGAUCUAAAACCUUUGUUUUGGUGGACAAAGAUGAAAAAGGAGAUCGCUGCUUUUGUCGCUCGAUGUGACAAUUGUUGUCGUGUGAAGGCUGUUCACAUGAAAGCUGGUUUGCUUCAACCCUUGUCAAUUCCUGGUUGGAAAUGGGAAGAAGUCAGCAUGGAUUUCAUCAGUGGGCUCCCAACUUCUGUUAAGGGCUACGACUCCAUCUGGGUGAUUGUAGAUCGUUUGACCAAGGUUGCUCAAUUUAUUCCAGUCCGAACUGACUAUCGUCCACAUCAAUAUGCAUAAUUGUAUUUCGAGCACAUUGUUCGUCAGUAUGGUGUGCCUCGAACUAUUAUAUCAGAUCGUGGACCACAGUUCACUGCUCGUUUUUGGGAAUGUCUGCAUGAGCAGAUUGGUACUCAUUUAGUCCGUAGCUCUGCUUAUCAUCCCCAAAUGACUGGUCAAACUGAACGGGUUAACCAAAUCUUAGAAGACAUGUUGAGGGCAUGUGCUCUCUCUUCGAAAGGUUCUUAGGUUAAGUGGCUGCCAUUAGCUGAGUUCUCCUACAACAAUAGUUAUCAGGAGAGUAUCAAGAUGGCUCCAUUUGAAGCCCUGUACGGUCGAAAGUGUCGAACCCCGUUGAAUUGGGUAGAAGCCGGAGAACGAAGGUAUUAUGGCAUCAAUUUCGUGAACGAAGCAGAGCAGAAGGUCCGUACCAUUCAGCAACAUCUGGAAGCUGCUCAAGCUCGUCAGAAAAGUUAUGUCGACAAAAGAAGGAAGCUGAUUGAGUUUUCAGUUGGCGACCAUGUGUAUAUCAAGGUGUCUCCGAUGAAGGGUGUACAAAGGUUCGGGGUCAAGCGAAAGCUUGCGCCUCGUUAUGUGGGACCUUAUCGGAUUCUCGAAAAGAAAGGGAAUGUGGCGUACAAAGUUCAACUUCCAGUUGCGCUUCGAGCUAUUUUCCCUGUCUUCCACGUAUCACAAUUAAAGAAGUGCCUUCGUGUACCGGAGGAACAAGUGGAAGUUCGAGAUAUCAAGUUGAAGUCAGACCUGGUGUAUGAGGAGAAACCCGUAGCGAUUCUUGAUCGCAAGGAACGGGAGACUAGUAAUCGUGUGGUUAAGCUCUACAAGGUGUUGUGGAGUAACCACGGGGAGGAAGAUGCCACUUGGGAGACGGAGGAUUAUUUAAGAGAAGUUUACAAAACAUUCUUCGAAAAUCAGUAAGCUUUCAAAUCUCGGGAUGAGAUUUUUGUAAGGGGGGAGGGCUGUAACACCCCAGUGUUAUGGUUGCUUUAAUCAUGUGCAUAGCAUGAGCAUCAUCAUCUACUCAAAGCAUAUCAUGAUCAUCAUCUAUCUUGAGCCAUGUCAUUCUAUGCAAAUAUGUAAUCUAAAUUGCUUAAAUAGGCUUCCUAUGCUUAUGUUGGAGUGAACCAUGCUUGUGUUUGUGCUCUAUGCCUUGGUAAUUAGUUUAUUUAUGUUUAACUUAACCUUGGGAACAAUGUUCAUGUUGAUCACUUCUCCAAAAUAAUCAUUUAAGUCAUACUUGUGCUAAUAGGCCCUAGAAACCUCUUUUGCUUAGGCUUUUAAAAAGUGUUUCAUAAAAUGUUUGCAUGUCAAAACUUUCUACAGAAAAGUUGUAGCAAAUUGUAUAAGGAACAAAAGUUGUUUAAUGGCCAUCUCACGAAAAUGAUCACAAAUAGCUCAAAAGUGACCCACAAGGCAAAUUUGGGGCUGUUUCCAACACUUAGAAAAUUUUCUAAGUCCUGGAACGAAACCAGUUUGCUCGAUUGAUUUUGAAAACUUUAUAACUCUCAGUCCAUGCCGAUCUAGCUCUUGCUCCAGUUGACAAAGUUGUAGAUCUCGGCUAGUACUCCAACUUUGUCAACUACAUCAUCUCCUAACUCACUCUGGUUUGGAAGUUAUUCAUCGUUGAAGUCACUCUGUCACACAGUCGCCGUUUUCUCUGAAUUGAAGUCGAGCUCGCCGUCGUGGAUGGCCAGAGCGCCACCUGUCCGCCAGAUGGGGCCCGUACGCCGGCGAUGGCCCCGCUCGUCAGCUCCCAGCACGCGCAUGACGUCCACGGUGACGCCCCGAGCAGAGUGGACGCGUCCACUCUCGCUUCCUCGCCCUCUCGCGCCUGUAACCCGCCCGCAGCGAGCUCACCGUCGCGAGCUCACUCCGGCGAGCUCAUGUGCGCUCCUCGCUGCGUCUCAAUCCACCAAAUUCCACCCACAGCUCCGCCGUGAGCCGCUCUUCACUUCCCACCCUCUAACUCGCUGCGAAACCCACCGGUGAGCCGCCAUUUCCUUCUUCCCCCAACUCGGGUCGCCGUGACCAUCUUUUCCGGCGAACUCAAUGCCGGGCUCUGUGAAGCCGCUCGUCUUCUCUGGUUAGGUCCUAGAGGUAGAGUAGGUUCUCAGCGAGUGUUUGCGCCACUUGGUGGACGCUCUACCGAACUCUCCGUCGCCGGACACGAUUCGCUGUGUUUAUGUGGAACUAUUACGAUCUUGGUUUUUUGCGACUUGGUUUGAAGUCCUUCGUGAUUUCAAUUGACUACCGGGAUUAUAUGGGCUCAAGUUUGGAAACUUGAUUUCAUUGUGGAUCGUUUCUACACUUGAACUCUUAUAAUUUGGUCGGUUCUGUGACAAGUAUCCUCAGAUUUCACGGAUACGGUGAAGAGAUAAGUCAAAUUUUCCCUUGCCCGUUUUGUCCUAUAAAUACUUCCUUCUCGGAUACUCCUUCUCCAUCGCAUCAUUCUACAGCCCCAACUCUACUUUCCUGGCGGUGGCACUGUUCGAGAGCUCCAAGAACUCCAACAAGAACUUCCUCCAACAACUCCCAAGUUUUCGAUAUUCUCCCCUGCAAGUAGAUGGCCAUCAACUUCGUCGUUCCUGAGGUCAGCGUACUGCCCUUUUUCCCGUACUUUUACUGUACCCCUGUUCAUCUGCAAUCUGUCUUACCGAAUCCUUUUUCUUUUUGUUCUUCUUUUCACUCCCAAAAAUUUCUAGGAUUUGGCCGAUAAAAUCGUUAUUCCUACCGAUCAACCCCAUCUCCAAUUCCUUGGUCCACUAGGAAACUUGGAUCCCACCGAUCUUAUAAACGCAAAGACAAACAGAAUCCCUUUUAGAGCCGAGAAUUUCUCUCUAGAUCUAUGGAAAGAUGUUUUCUGUUCCUGGCCUAGUCCUACUAAGGGAUGGAAGGAUUGGUUCCUGAGAGUCAGUAACUCAAAUGAGGUCCAAUGGGGUGAACGGAAACUGGAUCAGUGCAUUAGAUUGUCUCUUGCCGAUAUGGAGAGAAAUGAGUCACUACUGAUAGCUACCUCAUACUUUUGGUCAGAUACACUCAAUGCUUUUGUGUUUGGCCAUGGCCCUGCUUCUCCUACACUUGCCGAUGUGCUUAUGCUCACCGGCUUAAAUAUAUCCACUGCCGAUACCACCCACCUGUUUGAUACCAAACCCAGUGCUAAGGUGGAAACUCGUUGUAUCGGCGGUUGGUCAGGGUACAUCCAGAAAUACCGAAGAACAUGCCCUGUCAAUAUAAAAGAACAGACCACUUUUCUGAACAUGUGGCUGGAUAAAUUCGUAUUCUGUGGCCGAUCGGCAGGACCAACUUCUAUUUACUUAUCGGCAGCAGAAAGAUUAGCCAAUGGCGGCCGAUUUCCUCUUGGCCGAUACUUGCUUGGCUCGGCUUAUCACCUCCUCCAUCAGGUAGCCCAGAAACUAUUGCUUGGUCAACCCAUCGGCAACUUAGGGGGUCCCUGGUGGUUUAUCAACAUGUGGCUUAGUCUUCACAUGCACAAACACCUUGAGUUCGACCUCUUUACACAGCGCUUCCCCAGGGAUAUAGUCGAGGAUUAUGAACUAGGUGAAGAAGAAUCGGCGACUCGUUCCCCUCUGAACUUUGGCGAAGCCGCCAUAGUUUUGCCUGGCACAGGUGGCAACGCAGACCAGGUUAGCCGAUUCUUCCAAACCCUGUAUGAGGGUUUGACCAGGGAACAGCGGGCAUGGAUGCCCUAUGAAGAUCCAGACACCAGAUUCCCUCUGACUUUCCACCCCUUCAAUGAUGCUCUCCACAAGGAUCGUGAGGUGAUGAUGGCAAUUAUCACCCCAGAGCUAUACCGGUAAACUUCUUUGGCAGUGGGAAAGCUUCUAAUGUGACUUAUGAGUUCUACAAUCCAUCGGCACUAGCUCGUCAACUGGCUUUUGGCCAACUGCCGAUUGCACUUUGCUACGCCGAUGUGAUAAAGCCGAGGGAGAUUAUCACCAGCCAUCUGGAAUGGAUCAGGGUAGCCCAACUUCCACCAAACGCCGAUACAGAUGUCGAUCUAUCGGCUUGGAUCCCAGCUCUCUUCAUCACUCAGGCAUACAAACAGUGGUGGGAAGAAUGGAAAGAGCACCUGUUCUGUAGAUCGGCUCUUACAUACCGUGGCAUAAUCGACCCUCAAUACAAAGUCCCUGAUAACACUAUAAGUACUUCUAAACCGAUGUUUCAAUCCUCUCAUUUUCACUUUUCAUCGGUAUCUUACUUCCUUGUUAUAUGCAGGUCAAUGACACACCCCCAUUGGUCAGCAGGAGUGGCAAGCCGAUUGAGCUCCUUCCAUCGGGUACGAUCUCUUUGAUCGGCAACAACGCUCCAACUCUGGCUGCUAUAAUGCAUCGUGGCGUGCGUCUCAAGAAAGUUACCACCAAGCGGGCGAAGAUAUCCCCAUCGGUAGCUGCUUCUACCCUAGCACAAGCCUUCAAGGUAAAUUUUUGACUUCUUUUACUCAUACCGAUUCUAUCCUGAUACUUAUUACACUUGUACUCAUGAACUUCUCACUGUUGUAUCAGCACACCGGUACAUCGGCAAAGACCAGAAGCAUGACUGCCGAUGCCCCCCAGUCCAGUCAACCGAAGAGAAAAGGUUCCAAGAGUACCAGAUUACAAGCAAAGCGCCAGAGAACAGUAACGCCUUCUCCUCCCCCAGUAUCUCCGAUUCCAGUAGAAUCAUCCCCCUCUUCUCCAGAAAUCCAGACACAGCAGAUUCCAUCUCCUCCUCAGUCACAAGAAGAACCCCAAGUGGAAGAGCCCCAGCCAAAAGUACCUCAGCCAGAAGAAAUACCGGCUGAUGUACACGAGCAGACUACCGAUCCAGCAAGCCUAAUCAUAGCAUCGGUAGUCUCCUCAAUCCAGACAAGCACUGCACCCCCUCAAGGUAAUAUACUUUCCAUUUACUGCCGAUGAACCUAUUUUUCCACUUUAUUAAUUGCUUCUGUCAAUCUUUCAGCUGACAUAGUUUCAUCGGCAAUUCUAGCCGAUCAGCCCGUGGUUCCAUCGGCGUCAUCUAGUCAGAGGCGAGAGAUGGCCCUGAAACAAGUAAGUUACCCAAUCUCUAUCUGUAUUGUUUAUCAGUGCUUGAUCAUCGAAUAACUUAUUUUAUUUUCCUUUUCAGGAACAAGACUCUCCUGACAGCUUGUUCUCCUUUGCCAUCGACAUCUCUGAGGAUGAAGGCGAGGAGGCAAGUUCUUCUCGAGCUAUUGGAAUCUCAUCGGCAGAAAUCAGAGCAAAGUUAGAAGAAUUAUCAGCCCUCCUUCAUCAAGACACGGCCCAAUUGGUCGACGACUCCGAUCUGGCCAAGGCCUUGUUCAAGACUCUCAGAGGCCAAAUUCCUGUCGAUGCCGAGGAGAUCCUCUUCAAGGCUGCUCACUUAGAAAGUCGGCAGCUUCAAUAUCAAAAGGCCGCUCAGCGCCUUGCCAUAGGGCUAAUCACGCCCAGCUCAUAGAAGAGAUGAUAAAAGUGAAGCUCCUUGCCGAUGAAAAGCACAAGAGCAUCGGCAUCUUGAAAUCCUCAGGAGAUGUGCUGAAGCACAAAAUCUCUGACCUAUCGGCAAAGAGAGAAGCCCUGUUGGCAGAACUCAAACAGGUAGAAGAAGCUUUGUCCCAAGCUCAACAAGAAGAAAGCCAGCUGCCUGAGGCGAUCAAGAUUCUUGAACAAGAGCGAAAUGUCCAAGCCCGCAAAGCACUACAGAUGAAGAAGAAGCUGAAGCCAGUGGAGGGCUCUGCCGAUGAUGACAUGAAGGAGAUUGAAGAAGCCAACCAGAUCCAUCUGCGCGCCAUAUCGACGAUCCAGUCUUUGUUAAACAUGUGAAUCCUUCAUCGGUGGCAUACUUUGCUCUUUUCUUUUAAACAAUCCUGAUAUUUUUGGUCUAGCCGAUAGGACUGUUAUCGGCACCUUUUAAAACAUUGAGUUUGGCCCCAGAUAUACUUUGAUCCAGCCGAUAGGAAUGUCAUCGGCACUCUAAACUUUUAUGCAUCAACCCAUAUGCUAGGAUAAUAUUUCUUUAGAUACUUGCCGUUCAAUGCCCUGGGAAAUUCAACUCCUUCGAGAGUCUCUAAAACAUAAGCGUUACCAGGAGCAGAUCGAUUUAUCCGAUAAGGACCCUCCCAAUUGGGAGACCACUUCCCAAAUUUUGAACUUUUAGUCCCAAUCGGUAAGAUUAGUUUCCAUACUAAGUCUCCAUCGGCAAACUCCUUAGCCUUUACCUUCUUAUCAUAUCAUCUGGCAACUCUCUUCUUAUUCUCUUCUAUACUUAUCAAAGCCCUUAGCCGAUGCCCUGCUAAAUCAUCCAACUCAUCGGUCAUCAAAGUAGCAUAAUCAUCGGCAGCCAAUUGAUCUUGAAAAGAUAAUCGCCUAGACCCAGUUUUAAUUUCCCAAGGUAACACUGCAUCAUGUCCAUACACCAACUGAUAAGGUGAAACUUUGGUCGACCCAUGACAAGCCAUCUGAUAUGACCAUAAAGCUUCAUUCAACAACGUAUGCUACCUCCUAGGAUUUUCUUCAAUCUUUCGUUUAAUAAGCUUGAUAAUUCCUUUGUUAGAUGCCUCGGCCUGCCCAUUAGCUUGAGCAUAAUAAGGAGAAGAAUUUAAUACUUUAAUUCCCAAACCGAUUGCAAACUCAUCAAACUCUCCUGAUGUGAACAUAGUACCCUGAUCGGUAGUAAUUGUUUGAGGAAUUCCAAAUCGGUAAAUAAUAUGCUCUUUCACAAAAUCAAUCAUAUUGGCCGAUGUGACUUUCUUCAAAGGAAUAGCUUCAACCCACUUGGUGAAAUAAUUGGUGGCAACCAAGAUGAAUUUAUGUCCUUUACUCGAUGGUGGGUAAAUUUGGCCGAUUAGAUCAAUAGCCCAUCCCCAGAACGGCCAAGGUUUAAUAAUGGGAUUCAUGGCCGAUGCGGGUGCCCUUUGAAUAUUGCCAAAUUUCUGACAUCCUUAACACCCCUUGAAGUAUUUAAAACAAUCUUCAAGUAUGGUUGGCCAAUAAUACCCAUUCCUCCUAAUCAUCCACUUCAUCUUAAAAGCUGACUGAUGUGCUCCACACACUCCUUCAUGGAUUUCUCCCAUUAAACUUUUAGCCUCAUCAUCACCUAAGCAUUUGAGAAGAAUUCCAUCAAUUGUUCGAUAAUAUAAUUCAUCUUCGAGGAGCACAUACUUGGUGGCUUGAAACCGAACACGUCUCUCAACUUUCUUGGACAGAUCUUUCAAAUAAUCAACGAUUUCCCUUCUCCAAUCAUCAACACUGAUUGCCGAUAUUGUGUUUAAUAUGGGCUGAUAUCCCGAGGCAUGCUGAGCCAGCCGAUUGGCCUCUUCAUUAUGCAAUCGAGGAAUAUGCUCUAAUCGGAAAUCCUUGAAUUCCUUUAACAGUUGCAUACUCCUUUCAUAAUACGUUAUUAAGACCUCACUUCGGCAUUCAUAACUUCCAGCCAAUUGAUUUAUAACCAACAUAGAAUCUCUGAAGAUUUCAACAGCAUCAGCACGAACCUCUUUUAACAACUCCAACCCCUUAAUUAAGGCUUGAUAUUCAGCUUGAUUAUUUGUCGACGUGGCAACAAUCGGCAAGAACAAUUCAUACUUCCUUCCCCAAGGGGAAAUUAACAUUAUGCCGAUUCCUGCCCCCCGGUCACACGUGGAUCCAUCAAAGAAGAGCGUCCAAGACACAAUUUCCAAAGUUUCAGCUGCACCACAAUGUUGAGUUACAAAAUCGGCCAUAAUCUGUCCUUUAACCGCCUUAGCCGAUUCGUAACGCAAAUCAAAUUCCGAUAGUGCCAAGAUCCAUUUACCGAUUCUGCCACUCAUUAUCGGCAUAGAUAGCAUAUACCGGACCACAUCAUCUUUGCAUAUAACAGUGCAUUCGGCCGAUAGUAAAUAGUGCCUCAAUUUAAUACAUGAAAAAUAUAGGCAUAAACAUAACUUUUCAAUGGCCGAAUACCUGGUCUCAGCAUCAACCAAUCUCCUGCUUAAAUAGUAAAUCACACGCUCCUUCCCUUCAAAUUCUUGAAUCAAAUGGAGCAACAAGGUGUCAUAAGAUCAAAGAAGCACAAAGAUGGCAAAAUGAAUGAGUACAACAGAGGAGACAAGAUGUUCAUGAACAACUCAAGAUGCAAGAGAAGGAAAGGACCACCAGUCAUCUACCCUUCAUCACUUAGUGUCAUCACGCUCUAACAAUGAAGGUAAUAUCCUUAGGUAAGUGGUCACUUCUCUUGUCUCGAUCUUGGUGCAUACAUAAAUGUAGACACAAAUAUGUUAGAGUUACAAUUUAAAUUGAUUAACCUAAUUAACUCAACAUGAUUUGUCAUUUAAGAUUGUUCAUGGUGCCAUUCUUUUAAUCUCGGUCUUAACCAAAUGAGAUAAAACAUUAUAUUCGAUCUUUGGAAGAUGAUGGUCAUACUCAUGUGAAAAUUUAUAUAUUAUAGAUAGACAAUCCUUCAAUUGGUUAAGCAAUUUGAAUCUUUUCUAUCAUGUGAAUUUAAAUGCAACAUUAAAAUGCUUAAUCUUCUUAUCUUACCACUUAUGUCAUAAGUAAACAAAUUAUGCAAUAUUAACUUUGUCUUGUUUAAUGUGCCUAAGGAUAGAGAAAAAAUAAAUAAAGAGAUAUAUUUGGUUUUGUUAGUGUUUGUCCAACAGUAGAGCCAAUGUACUUGAUCUCUACCUUAGUUUUGUAGAUAGUAUAACACUUCGAGCAAAAUUGUUAAUUCUACAAGUGAAAGUGCUAUGAGCAUACACACUAAGCAAGAUGCUGCUAGCUGCUAUUAAAGAUCUACUUCAAUCUGUUGGCCAAGCCAAAGAACAAAGUGACAUCACCAUUACUAGAGGAUGCAAUCAUCAAAGACUUUUGUCUUUAAGAUGGAGAGGUACACAUGAGUGGAAGAAGAAGUUUUGUCGGUAAACUUUAAAUUUUGUACCCUUGCCAUGAGGUAAUAUGGUAGUUAUCUUAUUAAAUUAGUAUUCAUUAGUAAUUUUACUUCAACACAUUUAGUAGCACAUUCAUUCUUCUUUGCACAUUAAAUAUAAAACAACAACAAAAAAUAUUUACUGCUUAUUUACUGCAUCAUAAAACAUUAAAAGUCCCAUGUGAACAAACUUAUGGUUACCCUGUAGGAAUAUUUAAUGUGGUGGCAUAAAAAUAAUAAUAGCUUUUGUAUUUACUUUCUUGCAUUAUGAAAAUCCUAAGCCCCAUAAGAAUAAAUAUUCUCUGUGGAGGCAUAAAAAUACAACUAUAUAUCAUGACUCAUAUUUAAUUCUGCAUAAUUAAAACUAGAAAAUCCUAAAAAAAGAAUCCUGCUAGAAUCUAUCAAUUAAAAUCAACUUAUAAGAAUAAUCAAUUACUCUUUGGCUGACCACUAAUCUCUUAAUAAAUUGAAGCCUCGAGUUUUGGUUUUCUUGUUGGAGUAUAGUUAUGGAGGAGAAAUAUUAUGAUGAGGAGAGGGUCUAUCAGAGGCGCCCACAAGGACUAUUGCUGGUUAGCUCACUCUGAAGAUCAUCAAUACCAAGUAUGGUAGAAAUCUAGCUUGGGGGAGGAGCAUCCCCUAAUUAUCCAAAAAGUCUACAGGAAAAUAAGUGUGGGGGAAGCACCAUGAAAUUCUGAAACUCAAUUCGAUCGGAGAAUCACAUCAUUCGGGAGAUAGUCAUUCUACGACCACACACGACGAAGCAGGGCCUGAGCAUCCACAUGGGCCCACCACCCUUUAUGCGCUGGCCGGCGCCCCCUUCCUCUACUGCCGUCAGGUUUGAGCCCAAUACGAUAUAUUCGCAUGUUUUGAUUACCGUUCCGAACAUUAUAUAACACUUUUCUGGAAUUAUAAUUACUGCUAGGAAUCCCAUGAUUGCUUAAGUUUUUGUGGAACAUAAGAUAGCCGAAUAAUGAAAACUCAAUUCCUGAUAUUUGGGCUUUGAAGAUUUUAAUUCAAAUAUUUAAAAACACUUAGCUAUACUUCUCCUUUGUGGUAAAAAAAAUGUUUCCUAUACACUAUAAGUAAUGAUUAAUUUGCCUUAGCUACUUGUUUUUUAUUCUGAGUUCCCAAGAUCAAGAUCUUUUAAAGUUAAAAGUUAUAAAAAAUCCCUCUUGAGAAGUAUUAUUAUGAAGGAGGCCUGAGCUAUGCAAAAAAUAUCUGAGGAAAUAAAAAUGGACAAGUGUCCAAAACCUCAAAGAGAUAGAUCCCAAGAAAAUAAAAAUGGACAAGUGUCUGAAACCUCAAAGAGAUAGAUCCCGAGGAAAUAAAAAGGGACAAGUGUCCGAAACCUCGAUCUAGAAAAAAAGAGCACGUGCUCAACAGUAGAAUUAGCCUCAUAGCUUAUGGUCCUCCCGACAUAAUAUGCCAAGCAAGAGAGGAUCGUUUUCAAAAAAGAAAUAAGUAUGUCCUGAUCUAGGAGUAUGAUACUCCUCUCCCUGAUUUUAAGUGUUGACUUGAUCAAAAGCUUGUGUGCUAAAGAAGGAAAUAUAAAAUAAUGUUUCGACAAAGAUACAGGAAUUUAUUAAAUGCUACAAAAGGAGAAGGGCAAGCUAAGUUCUAGGAAAUCAACCUACUCUCCAAUAGACCUGAUUAAGGAAAAGAGUGAUCUGUUUCAAGCUGUUCUGUUCUUCAACUACUAAAAGAUUCAUGGUAGAAGCUUCGAAUUCCACAGUAAGAGAUAUGACUAGAUUUAUCUUUAUGCAAAUAUAUAUUAUGCUCUGAAUGCUAAAACCAACCUUUUUCUCGGGACGAGUAAAAGCCUAAGUGUGGGGGUAAUUGUUGACACCUGUUGAUGCCUAAUUUUUAUAAUCAAUUAUCCCGACAUAAUAUAUAAACACCCAGUAGAAUAGGGAGGUUACUAAUAAUUUCCAUGAGUUUUGGUGAAUUAUAUAUUUUCAAGGAUUAUUCUGAGAAAGGCAUAAAGAAGGACUACAGUGAGUAUUUACCACGAAACUUAACCGCAAAGGAAACCAACAGUCAUUGGAACGAGGGAAGGAUCUGGAAGCUACCCGAAGAAGCGGGACCCCAGUUGACACUCGGUGGCGCUGGCCGGCCCCACUAGGGUGCCGGGCUACACCCCCUGGCACGGCUCGGGUCUAGCUUUUGGAAUGUUCCUCCACCGCCUAUGAGGAGUCAUCUCGGCUGUUGCUUCCAUCGAUUUGAUCCUCUGACGCUCGUUUUACCCUGACGGACCAUAUUCAAGACAGAUUCGGCCCAAGUUUGGCCCAACAAGGCUUAGUUGCAUUAUUAUGAGGUGGUUGGAGGAUUUGUACCACAUCGCUUGCUCAAGGAGGAGGAGGCCAGGCUCCCCCCAUAUAAUACACCCCAGGGGUCCCUCCCAAGACGCACCAUCUACAGAGCUUCAAUUUAGAUUUUCAAUUAGGGUUAGAUGUAGCAAUCAAGAUAGAGAGUAGAGGGAGAAAGUAGAAGAGUAGAGUCUUGGAGGAGCUCCGACCUGUCGGCGUCUCUCCACUGUUGUAUUUGUCUCGAGUCGGCUCCCUAACCCAGAGUCGGGUUCUAAGGUACUUUUGUAGUUUACCUUUUGGUGCGUGUACGCGAUUGUUCUGGCCAUUCUUAAGUUUGCAUCUUGUAUUGAGUAUUAUUCUCUUUAUGAGUACUUUGAUCUUGGUAAUUUCUAGAUUAGAGUAGUAUUCGUGACGUAGACGUGGUGUCUAGGUUGUGGGUGCUUUGUGAAUGUCCCUUGUCUUGCCGGAUGGUGGUAGUCCGCGUAGGUGACAGCUGCGUUGGUUCCUUUGUAGUCCAUCUCCCACGGAAGGUUUGAUAGGUGUAUAGGUGCCGAUGGGAGGAGUACUCUGGUAUUGCUCUUCUUGCUUAGGUUAACCGCCCAGUUAGCAUGGUCUUUUCAAAGCUUGCAUAGUACCGGGAUAGAGAUAGUCAUUUGAUAACUCCUUUGUCUUGUUUUCUCUCUAGAUUGAUUGCAUGCCCCAUUAGAUUAAGAAUCAUAAACCUAGUCUAUUUCACCUACUGUUCCUUCGGGUUUGAUAUUAACCGGUAUAAUCUUGGAGAAGUGCUACAUCGGUAUUAUAUUUGUGCACUUGCCGGUAAUCUUAUUUACAUAUAUUUAGGUGCAGUUAAUUUAUACCAACAAUUAUCAUCAACUAGAAGUCAGGAAGGAGGAGGAGAAGCUCAUAUGGAUGACCGACACCCGGAGAGUGGAUGUCACUUUUUCUGAUCUUGCAAAAGUUUGCAGAAUGGACUACAUUUUCAUGAAGCAAGGGACAACAUUAUAUAAAAUUAAGGAGCCAGAGAAUGAGGAGGUACAACAUCUGCUUCACUACCAGGAAACUUCAAAGUAUGGUACUAGUGGAGGCCUGAGGAUGUUCCUGUUGACAUUUCUUAGCAUCGCUACUAAUAUGGAGUUCUAAAUCUAUCCCUAGUAACAAUGCCAAAAAUAUUGGUUGGUAUAAAUUAAGGUAGCACUUGUUAACAAUAAUAGUCACUAGAAAACUCUACACACCCAACUGUAAACCAUGUUGUCAUCCCCAACAAUAGAGUUAGAGAGUGGAUCACAUACUUUGGUUUUUAAGUCAGUUGAGAAAGAGAGAGAGUGGGUCACAUACUUUGGUUUCUAUUAAGAUACUUGUGUGUGAUUGCAUUGUGGGCCAUCCAUCCAGAUGGCUCUUUGUUAAUUCAGUUUUAUUUGUCUAUGUUGUUGCACUUUGGGCCAUCCAUCAUUAUGGCACCUUGUUAAUUCGGUUUCUUAGAUGUCUCUCUGUAAAUUUGACUGAAUUAAUCUAUGUUUUUGCAUUGUGGGUCAUCCAUCGAGAUGACUAUUGUUAAUAAGAGAACAGAAAUGUCUCCAUGAUAAAAUUUGUCUAGCUUGUGCGUUUUUUAAUUGCUGAACAGUCCCUUGAACUGUACUAGCUAAAAAAAUUAAAAAAAAACUAUUUUCCCCAAACUGGCUUCGAAAUCGGGGUGAUGGCGAGAGAGGGAACAAGAUUAACAGCUAUGCUAUGCUAGGAUGGUGAUUUUGAUUUAAUGGCUCUCUUUUUCUAUUUGAGUCGCUGCUUGCUCCGGUAUGCAAUAAGAAAUUUAAAAAUUAAAAGUUUCCCCCGCGAGGGCUUCAAACCAGAGCUAAUGUGCGUACAAAUAAACCAAAUAUAACAUAACUAACUUCCAUACAAAUAUAAUCAAAAUAUCUAUAUAAAUAAACCUGAUAAAGUAUAUAACCAUUUGAAUAAACCUUACAUAAGAAGACGAACACAUGGAUCCUACAAACUGGAUGCAACCCUUACCUAUCUCCACUCCAAGUAGCGUACGUCUUGAAUGGUGUAACCACGGUCAUUGUCUAUGUAAUGCGAGGCCUGCACUAGAAUCCAUUGCCUCACAAUGACGACGACAUGCAAUCCCAUAGAUAUACCCUACUAAUGGAUUAUCGAUUGCCUGGUUCUAUUUAAAUCUCAUGCAAUACUGGAUGCUAGCUGUUGUCAUUUCGCCCAUCGCUUCCAUGAUGCCCUAGUGGUACCCUAUGAAAGGUCCUAAUAUGGCUAGAGGGGGGGUGAAUAGCCUAUUUAGAAAUUCUACAAACUCACUAGAGCAAGAGGUUAGUAAAUAACAAAGCGAAGCUUUUUGCUCUAGCUCUAAAGGGGUGUUUGCAAGCCACCUAUCCCACAAUUCUAGUUGAUAUAAUCACUAGGCACACAAGAGCUAUGUCACUACUUGCACUAGAAGGCUACCUAAAGUUUCUAUACAAGUAAGUAAGCUACUCUAGUUUGCAGGAAUGUAAAAGAGUGGAUGAGAUAUUUAUACAACCAAGUAGGGGAUGAACCAAUCACCAAUAUAAAUAAUCAAGCACCCGGAGAAUGCCAAUCAAACACAAUUGAGACACCAAUUUUUCUCCCGAGGUUCACGUGCUUGCCGGCACGCUACGUCCCCGUUGUGUCGACCAACACUUGGUGGUUCGGUGGCUAAGAGGUGUAACACGAACCUCGUCCUCACUAGGACACCACAAGAACCUACCCAAAAGUGAGGUAGCUCAAUGACACGAGCAAUCCACUAAUGUUGCCUUUGGCUCUCUGCCGAGGUAGGCACAAACCUCUCACAAUCACCGAGAGAUGGCCACGAAAAAUCACCAACUCGUGCCAAUCCUCCUCCACUGCUCCAAGCCAUCUAGGUGGCGGCAACCACCAAGAGUAACAAGAAAACCGCAGCCAAAUCGAUCCCCAAGUGCCACUAGAUGCAAUCACUCAAGCAAAUGCACUUGGAAUCACUCCCAAUCUCACAAAGAUGUAUAAUCUAUGAAGGAGAUGAGUGGGAGGUGUUUGCUUAGGCUCACAAGGAUGUCUAGUAGUCAAGAAUGCCAAGAGAGUAAGCCAUAAGCCAGCCAAAAACUAUUUAUAAGCCCCUCAAACAAAUAGAGCUGUUGGCUCUUUUACUUGGCAGAACUCGGGGUCACCGGACGCUCUUAAAGGGGCACCGGACGCUCAACACUAGCGUCCGGUGCUCCAAAGUUAGCCACGUGUCAGCUUUUUGAAACUCAGUGUCAGAGUCUAACGGUAACCUGCAAAGCACCGAACGCUGAGCAAGAUAGCACCGGACGCGUCCGCAGAGACCUCCGCAAACUCGCAGGGUCACCGGAUGCAAGCCACCGGACACACCCUGAGCGUCCGGUGCUCACCGGACUCAUGCGCAGAGAGGGUCACCAAAACGCCCGCACACCGGACGCUGAGCACCGGACUCACUAUGGUGCAUCCGGUGCACUCUGCUACACUUGACAGUACACCGGACCCUCCCACUGGCGCAAUAGAAAAUAUGCACUUCAUUUUCUCGAAAAGCGCUGAAUCCCACCUCGCAAGCUCGGCGGGAGGGAGAGAGGAACCCAUCCUCUCUCUACCCUUCAAACUUCAACUCCCUUCUCAAAGUGUGCCAACACCACAAUGUGAAUGUUGACGGUCCUUAAUGCUCACAUUUAACCCUCAAAUAAUCAUGGAAAAGGAUCCAAAUGAAACUAACACCUAGACUUAGGGUUUUAUCUGACAGAAUUCCACGAGUUUUGGUGUUUGUCUAUUUCUGCAGGGGGUUAUCAGGAAAUACGGAAGAAAGGCCCACACGUCGAGUUUACAUAGAGAUAUUAACGUGCCGCACAAUUUUCUAUCAUCUAGAGGACUACAGAAGCCACGGGAACGAAGCGGAGGCCGAGAGGGCUCAGGGACAGGGCACCCGCCCAAGUCCUUAGGGCGCCCGCCCAGCUACUGUGUCCAAUUCGGACCCGUUUCGCGUAUUAUGCUCCACCGACCUAAAGGAUCAAGGAAAACCGUGCGAUCAAUGUCGGUUUGAUCCAACGACCUAGAUUCAUCUGAAAAGACUAUAUAAGCAAGGCCCCCUGGCCCCUGGAGAUCAUACCUCUUCUACAGAAUCAAAGCUAGGGUUUCAAUUCUUCAUCCAAGUAGAGAGGAUCCCUCUAGUUCUUCUAGUUCUACCUCUAGUUCAUCUAGAUCUAGUUCUAGUUCAUCUAGUUCUAGUUCUAGUUAGUUCUAGUUGUAGUCUAGAAAAUAGGGAGAGAGAAGAGGAGAGCGGAGGAGGAGCAGGACCUGUCGGAUCUUCCUCAACAUUGUACUUUUGCAGCAACUGGUUCGUUCUUCAUCGUUCUCCAGGUUCUUCAAUUCAUAAUUCGUGAGUUCUUUAAUUACUUUUAUUUACAUUCAAGUUAUUUAUUGGAUUUCCGCUUGCAUCAAGUGCUCUAAUCUUUGAAACAUUAGAGUAGUAAUUAAUAGAUUAGACGUGGUGUUUAGUCUUGCAAUUACCUGGAAUUGCACUCAAACCUACGGAUUGUUGUGGUAGCCCUAGGGUAGUGACAGCCCUAACGGUCGACGUAUUCCACCUCGUUUGGAUCGGUGUUUGUAGGACCGUAGUUAGACCUUCCUAGCCCCCUUCUCAUCUCUUUCUGUGGUUAGUGCUCUGAUGUCCCGAAAUAAAUAAUCUUUGAAGUAAUUCUUGAUUCUUAGAUCAACUAGAGAACUCUCAGGAAACUUCCUCUCUUCCCACCAAAAAUAAUUAUAUAGUUAUCCUUGGGCGAUCUUGGAUCUUAAUUAGUACACUCACGUUCCCUGUGGAAAAUCGAUACUCUCGAAUACUCCCGGGUGAAGGCUACAUCGGUAUCCGUGCGCUUGCGGAUUUUCCUAUUUGCGCUUAAAAUACCCAACAGUGUAAACCAACAUGUGCACGUGUGUUAGCAUUAUCACAAUCAUUUUCUUCGAAGGAGUUAAGUUAGCUCACUAGGUUCUAAAUGCAUGCACAUGAACAAUGACACCUAGUGGCACUUGAUAACCGCUUAGCCAAAGAAUUCCCCUCUUUGUAGUACGGCUAUCUAUCCUAAAUGUGAUCACACCCUCUAUGCUGUCUUGAUCACCAAAACCAAAACCCUAAGCAAUACCUUUGCCUUGAUCUCCGUAGGGUUUUGUUUUUCUCUUUCUUCUUUUCCAAGUUGAGCACUUGAUCAUCUUGUGGUCAUCACCAUCAUCACCAUGAUCAUCGCUUGCUCCAUCACUUGGCAUGUACCAACCUCAUUAAGUCUACACACACUUAGUAUAGAGGUUAGUACUAGGGUUUCAUCAAUUAUCCAAAACCAAACUAGGGCUUUCAAUCUCCCCCUUUUUAGUAAUUGAUGACAAUCCUUUUUACAAAGAUUUUCAAUAAAAUUUUCUUGAAUCCAUGUUGCUUGUCCAAGCAUUUUACCAUGUGCAAAUAUUAUGGACAAGUUUCAUAAACCCAAAUUGGUAGCAAUUGCUCCCCCUACAUAUGUGCUAAGAGUUUGGAUUGAAAGCUUGCACAUAUGCUUGAAUAGGAAAUAUAGGAGUCAAUUUCUACCAAAUGAUGCUAAGGUGUAAAGAAUGGACCUUUGAAGCGUGAUACCAAUCGGAGUUGCCAAUAUACACCAUCCUUAGCACCAUUAGUAACUAGCUAUUCACAAAACUAGAACACCUCGUGAGAUCAACAUUAUAAACAAGGUUCUAGUACCACUUGUGAAACAACUAAAAGUCUAGUUACACUACCUAUGCCUGCUAGUUCUUCAUUUCAUCAAUCAAACUCACAACUAGCAUACACCACACAAGCAAGGUAUCAGAGAGAAAAACUUCUAAAACUAAUGCAAAUGCAAGCAAACAUAUGUGAUGCACAUACAAAUGCAACAUACAAGUUUAUGAGCUUACUCCCCCUACUUGUGUGCUUCAAAAUUUUAAUUGAUCCCCUUCUUUUAUCAUGUUACUCCCCUAUCUUAAAUCUUUUGUAAUUUCUCUCCCCCUUAAGCAAAUCUUUGGGAAAUUCUCUCCCCCUUUGUCAUCAAAGACCACAAAAGGUGAGCUCAAAUUUUAGAUAGGUUAGUGUGAAACCAUGUGAAGUGAGAUCAUUUUCCCAAAUUGGUUCAAUCUAGAUUACUUGCCUAAGAUAUUUAACUCGGUUUGAUCCAAGGACAAGCUUCUUCACACCUCCAAAUAAGGGUUAUCUUGUACCAUGUUGAGUUAAACACUUAUAGCUCAUAUUCUAGAUCAAACACUAGGAUUGCAAGCCCACAAACAUGUCAUAUGCUACCACUAGAUCAAGUCAAGCAUAGAAGCAAUAGUGGUACCAUAUAAGCAUCAAAUUCAUUUGAUUUUCAUGAAUGAGCCUAAGACAUGUAAGGAAUGACUAGAUGCACUAAACAAAUCCUUAGCAAAGAUGGAUGACAUGUCAAACAAUUUCACCUUGCUUUGCUCGAAGGAGAGGCAUGUCAUAUAGUGGGGGUGCAUCAACACAUAUUUGAGAAGUCAAGUAUAUUCAAUUCAUUCUUUAGCUUGCAAAACCUCUUCUCAUCAAGUGGCUUGGUGAAUAUAUCAGCAAGGUUAUCAUCGGUGCCUAUACUCUCAAUGCAAAUGUCCCCUUUUUGUUGGUGAUCUCUUAUGAAGUGAUGGCGGACAUCUAUGUGCUUUGUUCUUGAGUAUUGAACCGGAUUGUUGGUGAGCUUCACGGCGCUUUCAUUGUCACAUAGCAAUGGCACUUGCUUGAAGUUGAUUCCAAAGUCCUUCAAAGUUGCCUUCAUCCAUAGGAUUUGUGCACAACAACUACCGGCCGCAAUGUACUCCGCUUCGGCGGUUGAUAGUGCAACACUAUUUUGUUUCUUGGAUGACCAUGAGACAAGUGAUCUACCCAAUAGUUGACAUGUGCCCGAAGUGCUUCUUCUCUCAACUUUGCAUCCCGCAUAGUCCGAAUCGGAAUAUCCAACAAGUUCAAACUAUGCACCUUUGGGAUACCACAAACCAACAUUUUGUGUAUGCUUCAAGUACCUCAAAAUUCUCUUUGUUGCUUUCAAACGACUUUCUCUUGGUGAGGCUUGAAAUCUUGCACACAUGCAUACACUAAACAUGGCAUCCGGUCUUGAUGCGGUCACAUAGAGUAGGCUUCCAAUCAUAGAUCGAUACAACUUUUGAUCCACCAUAUUUCCACUUGUGUCACUAUCUAAGCUUCCAUUUGUUCCCAUUGGAGUGCUAAUUGAUUUUGCAUCAUCCAUACCAAAUUUCUUGAGCAUAUCUUUUAUGUACUUGCCUUGACUCACAAAUGUGCCAUUCUUCAAUUGCUUGAUUUGAAGACCAAGGAAGUAACUAAGCUCUCCAAACAUUGACAUCUCAAAUUCAUUAGCCAUCAUGUUUCCAAACUCCUCACAAAACUCUUGGUUGGUUGAUCCAAAUAUGAUAUCAUCAACAUAUAUUUGCAACACAAACAAGUCCUUGCCAAUCUUCUUGGUGAAGAGAGUGGUGUCAACCUUGCCCAUCUUGAAACCUUUAGAGAGUAAUAAAUCUCUCAAUCUCUCAUACCAUGCUCUAGGUGCUUGCUUCAAACCAUAUAAUGCCUUUCUUAGCUUGUAAACAUGGUUGGGUUUCUUGUCAUCUUCAAAUCUGGGAGGUUGCUCAACAUAUACUUCUUCAUUGAUAUAGCCAUUGAGAAAUGCACUCUUCACAUCCAUUUGGUAUAGCUUGAUGUUAUGAGCACAAGCAUAGGCCAACAAGAUCCUAAUUGCUUCCAAUCUUGCAACCGGGGCAUAUGUUUCACCAAAGUCAAGACCUUCAACUUGAGUAUAGCCUUGUGCUACCAAUCUUGCUUUGUUUCUUACAACUAUCCCAUCUUGAUCUUGUUUGUUGCGAAAGACCCAUCUAGUACCAAUGACAUUAUGAUCACUAGGCCUCUCAACUAACUCCCAUACUUGAUUUCUCUUGAAAUUGUUAAGCUCUUCAUGCAUAGCAUUGACCCAAUCAACAUCUCUUAAUGCUUCAUCAAUCUUCUUUGGCUCAAUGUGAGACACAAAGGAGAAAUGCUCACAAAAUGAUGCUAAUCUUGAUCUAGUUUGCACUCCUCUUUGAAUAUCACCAAUGAUAUGAUCCAAUGGAUGAUCUCUUGCAAUGUUUGUUGGUUGGAGUAUUUGCACUUGAUUGCUUGCACUUGGUUGAUCAUGAGAUGAUGUACUAGCUUGUUGAUCAUGCACUUGAGUACCACUAGUACUAACUUGAUUUUGAUCAUGAGAACCACUAGCUUGCACAUUAGAGGUAGGAAGCACUUGAUCUUUGUCAUCUUCAACAUCAAUCACCUCUCUAGGCCUUAAAUCACCAAUAUCCAUAUUCUUCAUUGCAUCGGCCAAUUGAGUGCCUCUCACAUCAUCUAGAUUUUCAUCUUCCUCUUGAGAGCCAUUUGUUUCAUCAAAUUCAACAUCAUGCACCUCUUCAAGAGUACCACUAGCCAAAUUCCAAACUCUAUAAGCUUUGCUAGUAGUUGAGUAACCAAGCAAGAAUCCUUCAUCACGUUUCUUCUCAAAUUUACUCAAUCUAGUGCCUUUCUUCAAUAUGUAGCAUUUGCAACCAAAAACCCGAAAGUAUGCAAUGUUGGGCUUUCUUCCAUUCAAGAGCUCAUAUGGAGUCUUCUCCAUCAUUGGGUGACAAUAGAGUCGGUUGCUAUAGUAGCAAGCCAUGUUGAUUGCUUCGGCCCAAAAAGAAUGACUCACAUUGUAUUCACUCAACAUUGAUCUUGCCAUGUCAAUCAAGGUUCUAUUCUUCCUCUCAACAAGACCAUUUGAUUGUGGAGUGUACUUGGCCGAGAAUUGAUGCCUAAUACCAAACUCAUCACAAAGCUCAUCAACUCUUGUAUUCUUGAAUUCACUUCCAUUGUCACUUCUCACUUUCUUGAUGGUUGUUUCAAACUCAUAGUGUAUUCUCUUGACAAAUGAUUUGAACGUUGCAAAAGCAUCACUCUUGUCACUAAGAAAGAAUACCCAUGUAUAUCUUGUGAAAUCAUCCACUAUCACAAAUCCAUAUUUGUUUCCACCAAUACUUGUGUAUGUGGUUGGUCCAAAUAAGUCCAUGUGCAACAACUCAAAUGCCUCGCAUGUACUCAUGAUGCUCUUCUUUGGAUGAGUGUUGCCAACUUGCUUUCCGGCUUGACAUGCACUACAAAGCUUGUCUUUCUCAAAUGUGACAUCUUUCAAGCCUCUAACAAGAUCAUGCUUGACUAACUUGUUUAAUUGUUUCAUUCCAACAUGACCAAGCCUUCUAUGCCAUAACCAACCCAUGCUAGAUUUAGUGAGCAAGCAUGUUGACAAUUGAGCUUCACUAGCAUUGAAAUCAACCAAGUAUAGAUUCUCAUAUCUAAAGCCUUUGAAUAUCAAGUUUGAGCCAUCUACACUUAUGAUCUCUACAUCAUCAACUCCAAAUAUGCAUUUGAAACCAAGAUCACAAAGUUGAGCUACGGAUAAAGUUCAAGCUCUCUACUAGUAGCACAUUGGAAAUGCUCAAGUCAUUGGAUAUAGUAAUUUUACCAAGCCCUUUGACCUUGCCUUUGCCAUUGUCACCAAAUGUGAUACUAUCAACACCAUUGUCAUCAUUUGAUUUGAUUGAAUUGAACAUUUUUGAAUCACCGGUCAUGUGUUGUGUGCACCCACUAUCAAGCACCCAACGCCUUCCUCCAUCUUUAUAGUUUACCUACAAAACAAAUCAAUGUUUCUUAGGUACCCAUACUUGUUUGGGUCCUUAGAGGUUAGUGACUAAGCUUUUUGGUACCCAAAUGGCCUUCUUCUUUGGACCCACAAUUGGUGUACCAACAAACUUAGCAUGCACACCCUUCUCACCCUUGGUAAGCACAUAAUAACAAUCAAAAGGAAUGUAAGAUACAUUAGCAUUUUUCUUGUUCUUGUUCAUUUUAUUGCAAUUAAGCUCUAGGUGCCCAACUUGCUUGCAUUUGUUGCAAUACCGACCAUUGCUCUUCACAAAGCUAGGCUUGUGAGUUGCAAAAGCUUUCUUGCCAUUCUUGGGGGUAUAGCCUAAUCCCUCUUUGUUGAGAGAAAACCUUUGGCUACCCAAGCACUUUAGCAAGCGGGCCUCACCACCAUAAGCUUUUCCUAGGGCGUGAGUGAGCUCAUCCACCUCUCUCUUGAGAGUCUCAUUCUCAACUUUUAGUGAGGUAUCACAAGUGACACUAACACAAGAAGUAGAGGUAGAGUUGUUGGUGGUGGAUGAAGACCUACAAAAAGAGUUAGUGGCAACAACAAUAGGUAGGUUGGGUGAUUCUUUAAUUAAGUCACAAGUUGUGCCCACAUCACAUGAUACAACAACCUUUUCCUUGUUCUCUUCUAACAACAAGGAGUGAGCUUUCUCAAGCUUGGUGUGAGCCUUGCCAAGCUUCUCAUGGGCUUCCACUAGCCUCUCAUGAUUAGCAUUGAGCUCAUCAAAGGAUUGCUCAAGAGCUUUUAACUUCUUGGCCAAUUGUUUGCACUUCUUGUUUUUAGAUUGAAUGAGAGAAUCGACUUGUUCUAACAUGUCCAUGAGUUGUUCAUUAGUGAAUUCAUUUUCAUCAUCACUAUCACUAUCAUGUUCAUGUUCACUUUCACUUUCACUCUCAUCAUAUUGUACCUUGUGGCCCUUGGCCAUGAAGCAUGAAGGAGUGUCGAAGAGUGAUGGCUUGUUGAUAGCAAUGCUUGCAAGUGCCUUCUUAUUGGAUGCCUUGUCAUCAUCACUAGAAUCAUCAUCCGAAGAAGCAUCACUAUCCCAUGUCACAACAUAGGAUCCACCCUUCUUCUUCUUCUUGAAAACCAUCUUCUUCCAUUUCUUUUCUUUCUUCUCCUUCUUGUUCUUCUUGUCAUGCUCAUCAUUGUUGUUGGGUAUUCUUAACAUCAUUACCAAAAGUAGACUAAGUUCUCUAAAUCUAGUAACGGUGCCAAAAAUGCCAAACCUAUCCCUCACACCACUUAAGCCAAGUUGUCAUCCCCAGCAUGACAUGAGAGACGCGGUAUUGAAAUAUGCAAUUGCUCUUCUAAAUAAAUAAUGAAUGGGAUCUGCAAGCGCACAGAUUAAUACCGAUGUAGCAUUUUAACCGGGAAGUAUUCCAGGUAUCGUUAUUUAUAUUUUUACCACUGGGAAGGGAUUAGCAAUCAUCAAUAUUGAUUACAGAAUAGAAUAUGAGAUUGAGCAUCUAUCAUUGCAUGUAUAAUUGAGAACAGUUAUCUAACUCUUUCAUACAGGGGUAAGUGUCACAUAAAAGAUAUAUGAAGUAAUGAAUAGUGACAAAGAUAAUUGAUCUGAUCAGCCACAUAUAAAUAUGAUAAGCACCUCAAUUAGAUACUCUAGAAAGUCAUUAGCAUGGUAUUAGAACGAAUUACAAGAAUAUUCCCUAAGUUAUUCUCAACUAUAUAGUCUAGCAUUAUCAUAAUUAGUGCAAGCAUACUUAGCAAUCAUUGUGAGACAAGACUACGCCCACGCAUAGUGAUAUUAGCAAGGUAAAUGAGAAACAUAGCAAUCACUCCCCUAUAAUAAUAUUGCUCUGCCAGCCCAAUACACGAGAGGGGGACUAUAUAAGAAUCAAUGAAGCUGUCACUAUCACGAACUACCCCACGAUCUGGCAUAUUGGGUACAAUCGCAGAUAAAUACGGUAUAAGCACCACGCCUACACAAUAUCUAUCAUUUACCCAUGGAUCCGAUGGAUAAAUGCUAUAUGAUCCUAAGCAUGUAUAUAGAUCCAAUCUAACUAAGCCAAGUACAUAACUAUGAUAAACUAAGAACAAUAUAAUCUUGAAUAUAAGCAAGUAGAGCAAAGUCAUAAGCAAUAUAUUGAAGUAGAACAAAGUCAUAUUCAUAAUAUUGAAGAACAAAGAUAAUUAGAAAGCAAUUAGAAGCACAAUUAGAGAAUUACCAAGAAUCCUCUUGAUAGAUCCAGAAACCAAUCGAAGAUUGACUCCUUCUAGUUCUAAUCCUAUGUAGCUAUGCUAAUCUAGAUAUCUAAUUGAUGUGGUGGCUCUAAUCUUGAUCAGAGGCUUCUUCUCCCUUGAGAAUAAUGAAUUAGGGUUGAGAGGCUCUCUCCUCCAGGGGCCAGGGGGUCUGGUUUUAUAGUCCCUUCAAGUGAAUGUGGGCUGUUGGAUCAAACCGACUUAGAUUGAACGGUUAUCCUUGAUCCUUUAGGUCGGUGGAGAUCUCCCACGAAGCAGAGUCCUGAUUGGACUCCAGAGGUGGGCGGGCGCCCUGCCUCUGGCCCCGUUUCGCCUCCGCUUCGGUCUCGUGGCUUCUGGAGUCUUCUAGAUGUAAGAUAAUUGCGCGGCACGUUAAUAUCUCUAAGUAAUCCCGACGUGUGGGCCUUUCUUCCAUAUUUCCUGAUAACCCCCUGCAGAAAUAGACAAACACCAAAAUUCGUGGAAUUUUGUCAGAUAAAACCCUAAUUCUAGAUGUUGAUUUCAUUUGGAUCUUUUUCUUAUUUAUUUGAUAAUUAAAUUUGAUACUUAAGGACCAUCAACAAACUCCCCCAAGCUUACCUCUUGCUCGUCCCUGAGCAAGGAUAGACUCAGCUAUGGAUCAGAAGUUGCUGCAAUAUCUUUAAAAUUUGACGGUACACAUACUUUUAAAUAAGAUCUCAUCUCUGAGUUAGAGUAAACUGUCAAGACUUAAAACUUACUUACUUUACCUCCACCAUGGGACUUGUAACUGUCACUUCUGUCUUGAGUAGUUAAAAGAUAGAACAGUCUAGCCAAGUGCCAUGUCUCUUAUUCUUGAUCAGCUAUAGCUCUGGUGUUUUUUACAGAUUUUCAAAUAAAACUUAGAGAUUCCUUGUAUGAUUCUCUCAAAUCUCUCUUUUGUGGUAUUUCUGGAUCGUUACCAAGGCAGUGAUGGUAUAUGCCUUCUCUCAAGAUAUGUAGUAUUUGUGGUAUAAAGCAUAGUGACAUUGUCUUCUCUCUCACCCUACUCUAAUAAGGCUUUAAUAUCUGGAGCUCAUAGGUGGGAGAUAAAGUAUACAUACUUACAAGACAUGUGUUGCAUAAUCAAACCAUGGAUCCAAAGAAACAAAUCAAUAAGCCAAAUCAAGAUGUGCAUGUGUGGCGAAUGAAUGAUGUAUGGUGAUGAUGGUGAUAAUAAUGGUGAAAGCCUAAUUCUACUUUUUGCUCUUUUGAGGGGAUACAUACCUUCCUUGCUUUUUGAAUUUAUGAGGAGAAUGAGAUGCUCUUCCUUUUUUUUCUUUUCUCUCAUGUGGGUAUCUUGUACCCCUAAUUCUACUAUCGGACACUUGUCCAUUUUUACCUCUCGUCUCACUCUUUUUUUUCUUUUGAGGUUCCGAGAACUUGCUCCUUUUUAUUUCCUCGUAUCUCUCUUUUUUUAGAGCACUCAUCUCUUGAGAUAAUAUAGCAAGUAGUAGUAACAAGAUAACUUGAGCAUUUAUUUCACAAGGAAAAAUAGAAAUAUUUUUGUUAUUCUCUCCCGGGUUAGGAGUAGAAUAUUUUUAGGUAGUUCUGGAGAUGGAAAUGGAUGGAUAUAUGUGGAUGGUACUUCCGGAGUAGAAGUAGCAUAUAUGAGUGAACGUGCAAGUGAAAUCUUGAUUUAACCACAUGACAAGCUCCUAAGGGACUACACAGCUUGACUACACUCAAUGCUCAUAAGCAGUAAAUAGUAAAUGUGUGGCUCAAAGUCUAGCAAGCAUGUAUAUAUGGCUGUGGUAGGAAUUUAAACUCUCAUCAUACAGGAACUCAUCAUGCAACAUUUUAAAGAUUUUCAAAGAUAAAAUUCUCCAGAAUUCUAGCAUCUCUAGGAACAGAUAAACAGCAGCUCAACCUUCCCAUAUCAUAUCCAUUAACAACUUAGACUUCAGAUCAAGUUUUCAUCCCACAAGUUUAGGUCUAGAGCAAGCUUUAAAUUAUAACAGUUAUAUCUAAACUUGAGAGAGAACUUAAAAUAUGCAAAUUAGGCAGAGCAACUAUUCAUCAUAUCCAUUUUGACUGGGACAUCAGUUACUGUUCCUUUAACCUCUUGAUCGUCUAUUUUGACUGGGACAUCAGUUACUGUUCCUUUAACCUCUUGAAAUGUCUGAUCUGCCAUCUGGAGCUGAAUGUAUGUUGGUUUU